AUCCGACCGCCGCCUCUUAGCAAUAGCUCCAGGCAUGCAAUGGCCGCUUUAGGCCUCGCCGCUGCCGUACUUCUUGCCCAGCAGGAUGACCUGCAGCUGGUCGUAGCCCGCCAGCACACCGGCGCCAGCCACGGCACGCAGGAUGUUGGCGCCCGCGCCCUUGAAGAGCGACUUCAUGCCCUCGUUCUUCACGAUCUCCUGGAAGCAGUGGAACGAGCUGUUGUACUUGACAGCGGAGCCCGAGGUCAUCAUCAUGCGACGACGAAUGGUGUCGAUGGGGUAGGACGCCAGGCCUGCGGGUUGAUGCGGGAUAGGUACGACAUGAGCAACCAUUCCGCCGUUCUGUAGUGAGCAAGGAUUCUUACACCGUGCCGCAAGGGAUGUAUGCCAUGACCUUGCAUAAUAGCACGACCAAGCACGGCAGCACUCACCGGCGCCGAUGGUGAUGCCCCAGCCCAGCAGGAAAGCCGCCAGGAAGUUGUUGGCCAGGGGGCCGACCAGCACCACGGGCUUCAGCGAGUCGUACAUGCCGAAGUACAGGCCGCGGUACACAACAAUGCCCACGCACGAGAUGUUGAAGCCGCGGUACAGGCCCGCAAUGCCGUCGGAGGCGAUGGUCUUGCGGUACACGUCCACCAGGCCGUUGAACUGGCGGUCUCCGCCACCCUUCUUGGCCGACUUCGCGUCGUUGGCCAGACGGGUACGGGCGUAGUCCAGCGAGUAGACGAACGACAGCGACACAGCGCCGGCAGCACCGCCCGAGGCCAUGUUGCCUACACAGGAAGGACGGGGGAAAGUGUGGGUGAAGUGGGUCAACCCGGGCGGACCAACAACCCCUGUGAUACAAGCAUCUCAUGGGUCAUGCAAGACACAUGCAGCAAUGAAUCCCACAAUUCGUGACUGUCGGGGCUAGGCCCAACCGGGACCUACGACUGUUGCAAGACGGCCGACGCUGCACGCAGGCACGAACUCACCCGCGAACCACUUCCAGUACUCCUUGUCCUUGUUGAAGCCGAACAUGCGCUUGAACUUAUCCUUGAAAGCGAAGUUCAGGGCCUGCAGCACACAUCGCCGCUCAAGAGUCAGCUUGCCGGAAGGUCACAUGCCGCGCGAAAGUUCAAUCAACGUGACCACGUUCCCGCGCUUAGUUUGGUCAGCUCGGCGGCAACGCACCUGGGUGGGGAAGUAGCGAAUCACGUUGGCGGUGUUGCCGCGCCACAGCGAGCCAAAACCCUCCUCGCGGACGGUGCGCACGAAGCACUCGCCGAUGCCCUUGUAGGGGGAAGCCAGGCGGCCCUGCUUGAUCAUCUCAUCCUGGUUCUGGAUCAGCAGCUUCACACGCUCAAUAGGCGCGGCAGCUGUCUUGGACACGGCAGCAGAGAGGCCGCCGGCCAGGAAGUCCUGCGAGCAGUGCCGGCAAAGAGCAAUCAAUCAGGCUUCGCGGCCCCCGGCGGCUUUUGGGCUUAGAGCGCUAGAUCCGCGACAUUGCUUACCACCAUGAAGUUCUUCUCCUCCUUGGCCAUGUUGUCGGGACCCUUUCCGGGACGGGCGAGGGUUAUACCGAGAUGGAGAGGAGACGCUGGGCUCCUGCCGCUUACACUAGGCACCAACGACGCUACGACGCGCCAGAGGGGAAGUGGUAUGGGCAAACACCGCUGGGAAUGGGGCGAGUUGAGGCUGACUGAGGGCUCUUCAAAAGUCUGAGCGCGCGAUGGGGCCCGAUUUAGGCGCCCCCAUGCACUCGAAAUCUGCACGCUCGUCACACGCUACAAAUCGUAGUGACCUUAUUUAGCAUCUGAGUGAGACCACCGGUAGCCAGGGCGCGGGCUUGUGUGCAAGUGUGCAACAGGCUUCCGGCGCGAUUAGCCGGCGAGCAGUUUGCUGACGUGCAGUUGUCUACGCAUUUGAUGGCAGAAUGUCUAUCCGCUGCUACUCUGGGCUUGCAGAAUGUCGACAGCCGCUGAGGAAAGCCGACGACUCCCCUCCCCUCGGCGUGCUUCCCCCUUCGCGUGCCGGGCGGGUAGCAAGCAAGGUAGCAAGUCACUCCUCGUGCGCGCCAAAUGCACGGAGAGAGGCCCCCUCCCAAGUCUUCGAAUCCGCGCCUUUCCUACAAGUACCCCACACUAUACCACCAAAGCUGCAUUGCACAGGACUGCACCAAAUGCAAUCUGCUGAGACGCCAUUACAGCGCCUCUGAGUCUGAGUCUCCAAGAUAAACUCGCGUCUCUGCGUUUCUCUGCACCCCAACAGCUUCUCCCCCGACCUGCCAACACUGGUCUGCUUCUCUAUGCUCGUAUGCUUCUCUAUGCCUGGUAUGGUGCUCGGCUCCCUGACGCCGGGUUCUUCUACGUCUAAGGAGGCAGUUUCCCCACGAGUAAGCAAGAAUUGCUUACCGUGUGCAAAGAAAGAACCCCAGCUGCAGCUAGACACGCCACUAAGCACGCCAGACGCCGUGCUGUCCGAAACCAUAGGUUCUCGGACAAGCUUGGCCAUACGCCCCUAUCUGCUGGGGAUAGCUAACGCGAAACGCGUACUACUGCGCGAAUUAGAUGAGCCUACUGAGUCUGCACCUCAUGCCGCCCAUCCUGCUUACUACUACCGUACGUCGCCAACCGCUGAAACGGGCCACCGCGCCUGCAUUCUCGCGCACUAUGUAGCUAGCCUAUGUCCGGAUCUUGUGCACGGUGCGGCUGAGCGCCUCCUCCUCGCGCAGCUUAGCCUUGAAUGUGUCCAGUUUGGCCUACACGGCGGUAACAGGGGGCACAAGGGCCAGGGACACAGCCAGCUUUCAUAUGGACGCGGGGGACCGAGCAAGUGUUACCAACAAGGGAGGCCCGCCUGACCACAGCAGCCGACCCCCAGCCGUCCAAUCACGUAUCGGCAGCCUGACGCCCAUACCUACCUGCAGCUCCUGGAUGCCCUGACGCUUGAUGUUGAGCAGCGCGCUCAUCUGCUCUACGUAGUGGUCGAUCUCGCUGCCGGGCUUGUCCACCUCCUGCAGCAGCGCCAUCUCCUGCCGCAUGGUCUCCAUGUCCUCCUCCAGCUUGGCCCGGUGGAACGCCACCAGGUUCUCCUCCUCCAGCAGGAUGCUGUCCAUUAGCUCGUCAUGCCGCUCAGCUAGCGCCGCGGCGGAGCCCUCGCCGUCCGCGCCCGCCCCGCCCCCGCCGCCGCCAGCAAAGGCGCCCGCCUGCACAUGACGUGAAACAGCAACCAUCACAGCUUGAGGGAGAAAUUCGCUUCGUGCAUGGCGCUGGUGGUGUUACAAGCAUGCGCCCGCUCGUCCACACAUCGUCGUCCUCCCGAAACGUGAAGCUCAGUCGAACUUCCAUCACCAGCACCCGUGUCAUCUCCCCGAGCCCUGGCCAACCGGCAGGCCCACCUGUUGUCGGGGUGGGCUGGGGUAGCGGUCCGACGCGCGCUCGCGGUCCCGUUCCCGCUGCAGGUCCGCGCGCUCCCGCUCCCGCUCCGGUGCGGGCGCCGCCGCUUGCCCGGGCCCCGCCGCGCGCGCCACCGCCGCAUAAUAGGCGUCGUCACCCGGGGUCACGCCACCGGGCGUGCGGUCCGCCUUGUCCUUGCGCAACUCUGCGGCGCGGCCCGGCGUGCAGUUUUUGUUUCCACCUUGUCAGGUGGUGCUCAAUGAUGCAGUCGUGAACAUAAAUCAACACCUGUAUGCCUGCCGCCAGCGCCUGCCCUUCGACCUAAGCCAGUGCCGGCCCAACAUCCCCUCCACAUCCCACAUCCAACCCACCCUUGACGCGGUCCGCGUAUCGCAGCGUGUUGAGGGUGUGCUCCACGCUGCUGGAGCAGGGCGAGAUGUUGGCGAUCAUGACCGUGCGCGCCUGGUCGCCCACAAACGAGUCACGCAGCACCGCCGUGAGCUUGGAGCCGCGGAACGGCACGUGGCGCGCAUCGCUGUCAAGCGCGCGGAUGCACUCCUUGAGCGCCAGCAGCGACUUGUUGAUUUCCGCGCCCUCCAGCCGCGUCUGACGGUUGUUGUCAAAUGUGUCGGCUCCACGCUCACUGCCCGCCAGGUCGAUGAACGAGAUCUUCCCCACCACGCGCGGCUCAGGCGCAUCCUCGCCGCGCCGAAAGCCGCCGGCCGGCGCGGGCGCGGCCCGCUUGAGCGCGAACUGCAUGAUGGAGUGCGAGCGCGACGAGUCGGCGUUGGCGGCGGUGGAGCCGGUGGAGCGGUUCUUGGCGCUCUCCUCGAUCAGCGCCUUGACACCGUCCACGUCGUCCACGCCAAACUCCUUGAGCCCCACCACCACCACCUUCUUCUUGCCGUCCUCCAGGAUGUUCAGCUUCUUGCGUGCGUUGAGCAAGUCGAACACCUGAGGGGGCGAGCGGACGUGCGGGCACAAGGGCCAGGGACAGAGCAGGAUAUGUGCAGUGAGUCAGCCGACAUGCUGCGGCAAUGCAGGUCAUACAAUCCAGAAAAUGCAGGACUAUGCAGGCGGCAAUCUGCCCCAACCCAACCCUACGUUUCUCCAAAAGCACCCCAGGCGCUCAGUAGUAGAUCCGCUUGCUGCUGCACCCCGAACCCGUGCUGCCAGGGCCCGCACGACCCAUUGUGCACCGCCAAACCCCUUUGUGCCAACACGCACACGUGCAGCGCCCCCACCCCUCUGCAAACCCGCAGGCCUCCCAGCCCACACCUUGUUGCCGUAGAUCUCAAAGCACGACACGCACAGGCUGAUGUCCCGGUACUGCUGCUGCGCCAUGAAGGUGAAGAUGUCGGCGGAGGCGCGGAUGGGCAGCGGCGACAUGGUGUACGUCUUGCCACUGCCCGUCUGGCCGUACGCGAAGCAUGAGGCGCGGCCGUUGCGGAACAGCGUUCGCACCAGCGGCCCCACCGUGAGCUGGUACACGGCCUCGUUGCUCACGUUCUCGUCCAGCGACUCGUCAAACUUGAACGCGUGCUUUUCCAGGUACUUGGUCAGGUCCACCUGGGGGCGGGCCGAUGUGCAUGCACAGGUGACGAGGGCUAGGCAGGCCUGUGCCCGAGCCCUAUAACUCAUCCAGGCGUACGGUGAAUUCCCAUGUAAACGGCGCAGUUGCAAUCCGCAUCCGUCCGGGGACACGGUCACGGCCGCAGCCCCGCCUGCCACGCAAGCCCCUGAGACCCAGACCUGACAGGUCACGCACCUUGACCUUCUCCUCGUUCACCACGACGGUGUUGUUUUUGGCCAGCACGUCCACCACGUCGUCAUCGCCGCGCUCCCGCUCCUGCGUGCCGCAGGCACAUAUGCAGUGGCUGCACAGGCACCCGCAACCGCACAUCCCGCAGUUGCAACACUACAAUCCUCACCAUGGCCAGGCCCCGUCACCCACCGCCCCACCUGCCCACGAUGCUCAAGCUGCAUGCGCAACGGUCACCUCGUGCCCACCCACCUUUUUGCUGAUGGGGCGCUUGCGCACGACGACACGGAUUUUGGGCGGGUCCUCUCCUUCGGAUGGUGGCACGCCCCCACCCCCGGAUGGCACGGGCGCCUUUGGGUUCUGGUUCGCGAGGGGCGACAGCUGAAAGUUGACGCCGGCCUGCAUGUUUGAGACGAUGUUGACAUGCAGCAGGAACGCGCGGGAAGGCAAUUAGGGUGCACCCGAGCCCGCAAUUGCACGCCGCUCACGUCGGCCAGUAGAUCCCCGUCAUUCUCAUCAAGAUCGAUCAGCGCAUUCGGCUUCUCGAGCGCUGGAGCCGGAGCAUCCGACGACUUCACAGACGCCGCGAUAGAUUUGAUAAGCCUGAAGAGCCGCUGCUUAUCUUCAAGCUCUACAACGCCGUAGGAAGCAUAGUCGCUCAUCAUGAGCCCCAGGAACGCCUGGUCUGAAACUCCACUGAAUGCGGGGACAAAGCGCUUGAGCCCCGCAUCCUCCAGCCCACGAGCUACUGAUGAGCUAACCAUGGCGUGAGUGUUGGUUGCGAGCUGCUCAGAACAGGCUAGGCCUCUACAACGACAUUGCCUUUGAAGGUUGAACAGUCCGUGAGAGACUACACAUGCGCCUAAAGUAAUGCUGCUAACUAACAGCCAUCAAAAUGCAUGAGCAACACGGUGAAUGCACGAUCGAGCCUACAAGAAGCAAGACCCCGCUGGCCCGCCCAUUGACAGUGCCUGCACGCGUGCCGUGCCCUAGUACAGCGCAACGUCCGAGUUUCUUGAUUCGUCUUUACAGGGGGCGUAAUUCUGCGUAUUACGUGUAUUAGAGGCUGUGUCCUUGCCCCUGCUUGUCAUACUGCCCCAGUGCCCGGCGCCCCGGCCACUGCUUUGCCACACUCGUGGCUACACUCUCUCUGCACUUCAUUCGUGGAAGCUGUCGCCUGCCUNNNNNNNNNNNNNNNNNNNNNNNNNNNNNNNNNNNNNNNNNNNNNNNNNNNNNNNNNNNNNNNNNNNNNNNNNNNNNNNNNNNNNNNNNNNNNNNNNNNNNNNNNNNNNNNNNNNNNNNNNNNNNNNNNNNNNNNNNNNNNNNNNNNNNNNNNNNNNNNNNNNNNNNNNNNNNNNNNNNNNNNNNNNNNNNNNNNNNNNNNNNNNNNNNNNNNNNNNNNNNNNNNNNNNNNNNNNNNNNNNNNNNNNNNNNNNNNNNNNNNNNNNNNNNNNNNCACUCGGGGGUACACUCUCUCUGCACUUCCUUUUUUGGAGCUGGUCGCCCCCCCGCAGAUGCGCUGCGCCGUUUUUUCGCGCGUGUGGCACAACGGUGUGUGUGUGUGUGUGUGUGUGUGUGUGUGUGUGUGUGUGUGUGUGUGUGUGUGUGUGUGUGUGUGUGUGUGUGUGUGUGUGUGUGUGUGUGUGUGUGUGUGUGUGUGUGUGUGUGUGUGUGUGUGUGUGUGUGUGUGUGUGUGUGUGUGUGUGUGUGUGUGUGUGUGUGUGUGUGUGUGUGUGUGUGUGUGUGUGUGUGUGUGUGUGUGUGUGUGUGUGUGUGUGUGUGUGUGACUACGGUUUCCACGGUUAUUCUGCCAGAUCACGUGAAUCGUGUAUCUGGUAUAACCAACGACAGGGCUCUCAAUCGAGGGCUGCCGUGACCUGGCGUUUCCCCGGCAGAGCGCAAACAGCUCUGGAGUCCACAGGGCAACGCACUCCGACCCUUCACCGCGCCAGUAAUCCUUGCGGAAUUACUACCGGUGUAACAACCUCAGACCCAGCGGGCGAGCUACCUCUUAAAAAACCAGGCGGGCAGACAAAAAACAGCAAACAUAACAAAACACGCAGCACGCGACAGCACGCGAAAGCACGACCACAGUGGCUGUGGGGCUGAGUCCUACGACCUGGCAGCCUGCACGACCUCAACCGCAACCUAACCAGCUCUCGACGCCAGGGCAGACAAUGCCUAAGGGCAGCCACAAACGCGUCUGGCCACUAGGCCGGUCCAGGCCGUAAGACCCGGGGUGUUGCAGCACCCAAUACACCCUCUCAGGCAUAAAAACCCCGCAAACCUGGCCCUGCUCCCACGGGCGUAAAACAAAAAAACCCUUCGCCUGCCCACUAAGCUCCCCCGCUGACCCUCUCGUAUGCCACUGCUUCAGUGGCUCAUGUUAGUGCUCACGCGCUUCUCCUAAGGGCUGAUCCCUUUCAAGCCUCCAGCUCCAUAGCUUGCGGCAUCGCGCACAGCAUUUCACCGUUCACCACCGCCAGGAUGGGGUGAGUGGCGUCAACACCAUCCCAGCCCUUUUGGGGCACGCCGAGCUGCGCAAACUGCAUCAGCCGCGACCAGAAGUCCGCGACUGCACGAGCGCACGCAAGCUCGACGGGGUUGACGCCUGGCUGCGGCGGCGUCAGCUGUGUGGGCGGGAUCUCGUCAAGAUCGGGUUCCGCCUCCGCUGCACCUGCCACCGCAGCCUCGGGAGCUGCUGCCGCCGCCGUCUGAAUUCCCAGGGCCGCUGCGGCGCGCGUCAUCCCGCGCAGCCGCACCCGGCCAUGUUCUGUGGCGGCCAGCGCCGCCAUCACCACCACGUCCCAAACACACUGCUGAAAACCCGGCGGCGCCUGAACCAGCCACAGCUGGGCUUGGCUGAUGGGAGCCGGACCGGGGUUGUGUGCGUUGAUCUGCGCCACCACGGCCUUCGCCACCGUGUGUGUGUGUGUGUGUAAGUGUGUGUUAAAGAGCACAAGGAAAACGUUGCGCAAAGACAGUGUAUGCGAUGCAGCAAAGCGACGGUUUACGGAUGUUACCUGAAGUUACCUCGCAUACCUGCUGCGGUGAGCCGCCGGUCUUACCAACCGGAAAUCGCGCAACCCCCGCUACUCUAACCUCGAGGGGGGAUUAGUGUCCACACGCUCUCAAGGGUGCAAACCCAUGCAUGUGCUCACGGUACCGUGAGGCCCAGGCACUCCUACAAUUCCUAGCUCCGCGUCGCUACUCCUGGCCGCUAAGUCCAAGCUCCCGCCCAAUCCUCGAUGAAAUUCUCACCUACGAGCGAAUAAGAAAACAACAGAGCACAGGGCGGCAGCAGGGGAGUGUCACGAACAAGAGCGAAGGAACAUGUUAGCGCGGCGGCGCGCGACGAGCAAGAGCAAACACGCAGCCCAGUCCCAGCCCAAGUGUGUGUGUGUGUGCGUGUGCGUGUGCGUGUGCGUGCGUGUGUGUGUGCGUGUGUGUGUGUGUGCGUGUGCGUGUGCGUGUGCGUGUGCGUGUGCGCGUGUGCGUGUGUGCGUGUGCGUGUGCGUGUGCGUGUGUGCGUGUGCGUGUGCGUGUGCGUGUGCGUGUGCGUGUGCGUGUGCGUGUGCGUGUGCGUGUGCGUGUGCGUGUGCGUGUGCGUGUGCGUGUGCGUGUGCGUGUGCGUGUGCGUGUGCGUGUGCGUGUGCGUGUGCGUGUGCGUGUGCGUGUGCGUGUGCGUGUGCGUGCGUGCGUGCGUGCGUGUGUGUGUGUUAAAAAACGAAACGAAAGCCCGCCCAAUGACGCGACGGAGUUACUUACCGAUACCCACCAUUUUACCGAGCGUCGCGUGACUGUCGUGACCCAGGUAGUCAUACUUACCCGCGAUAAGCCUGGAACCCCACGGGCGACCAUUCGGCCUGACCCCGCGAUGCACCUGUAUGCGUCCAUGCUCCGCACCCUGGGCGCGCUAAACAACGUUUACCCAGCACGCCUAAUUCCCGGAUUCCCGCCCGCUGGUCGUAGUCGAGCUCACCUAUAGGCAAAGGUGGAAGCAUGAGCAUAGGGCGGCAGCGAGGAAGUGUCAAGGGCAUGUGAAUGGCAACGGCGAUAAGAGAGGCGGCGUGCAGCAGACAAGCUAGGUAUCACGCGUCCCAAAUCCCGCCCACUAAGUACAAUAACACUAUUGGAAGAGGGCGAGUUAGCGGUGGCACUGCGACUAAACGGGGUCGAGGCUGCAUGGGGGACGUGGCGGGCGGCGGUUGCAGCGUUUCCAGACGCGUGUCAAGCUGGUGUGUGUGCGUGUGACGUGUGUGCGCCGUGGGCUGGCGGGAGCUGGCCUCCCGCUCCCCACGUUGCGGUGUGUCUGUGUGGUGCUAUCGCCUGGCCGGGCGCCCGGAGCGUGAGGAAUGCGCGUCAGCAAACUUCCAGCCAGCCAGCAACUCAUCGGUACAGUAACUCCGGCGUUAAACCCGCCGCGCACUCUUGCCCUGCCUCUGCCAACUGUUUGCCAUUUGUUGGGUAUGGGAAUUAGCUGCGCCCUAAGGGACUUUACCAGCCUGCCUUGCCACUGUCCCAUCACACACUCCCGCUCCCCACUCCACGGCGGCACCGAGGCUAGGCACGCUCGCGGCCGCAGUGGCCGCGUCGGCUGUUCGUGACGAGCCCCCCAUCCCCCACCCCCCAGAAUCCAGUUACCCCCCUGAUAGUGAACACACGUGUGUGUGUGUGUGUGUGUGUGUGUGUGUGUGUGUGUGUGUGUGUGUGUGUGUGUGUGUGUGUGUGUGUGUGUGUGUGUGUGUGUGUGUGUGUGUGUGUGUGUGUGUGUGUGUCUGGUGCUCUCGCCUGGCCGGGCGCCCGAAGCGUGAGGAAUGCGCGUCAGCAAACUACCAGCCUGCCAGCAAGUCAGCGAUGUCUCGGCACAGGAACUCCGGUGUUAUAUGAUAAUAUGAUACCCGCCACGCGAUCUUGCCUUGGCGUUGCAAAUUGAGAUCUGGAAGUACGCUGCAUACUACGGAACAACGCCAACCCCAUCGGCCCCGUGCGUGGGGGAUCCCCUCGCAGUGAACUGGGUUGGGAAGGUCAGGCCUGGCCAGGCGCCCUGGGACGUACUGCGCAAGGGUGUCAGUGAUUGAAUGCUGCUUUCAUACGUUCUCACUCCUCAACGUUACAAGCAACAAAGCAAAACAGCAAGCCCCACAGUCGGUGCUGAAAACCCGAAACCCCCAAGUUCACUUUGACCUGGUGGCCGUUAGGCGUCCUUCAGUUGCCUCCCACCGGCAGACCAGUGGGCGGGAAGUAAAAAGCAAAAACACGGCAGAACAGUACUGUAAGAUAGAAAGAGACAAACGGCAGAUACUGCUACCAGCAGCAGCUGCGCUACUUAGAGGCGCAAUAGCGCCUCGUACGGCACUCCGUGCCAUACCACUUAAUCGUCGUGAGAACCUGCCUUCUGCGACGCUCAUACUUCGCUCCGGAGAAGUCAACAUUGAAGGUACGGUAAUGCAUCUCCGCCACCCUCCGGUGCGGCGUAUGUACGGCUUGUUUCGGUCUUGCGUCCAUGUUGGCCUCACACGGAUUGGUGUCGCCCGACCACUGGCUGGCUGUGCCUGACUCCGUGCUCAGUGCUUAGCGUAUGCAUGCAGGACCUUCCGACCUUGUGUUUUUGGAAUGAUGCUGUACGGGGUGGGCGCCCCCUAGCCGACUCAGUGCAGUUCCCAACUGCACGGCUGCACACGGUUCCGCGAUUCGUGCCAGGUCUACCAUCCCUUGGUGCGCUGAUGUGGCAUGCUGGGGGGUCGCGGCGGGGCCUCGGGGCCGCAGGAGCCCCCAAUCUGGCUGAAACAGGCUGAAAUGCAUGGUGGCGCGCCAAAGCUCACCCAUGACCAACCAGGCCCUCGCAGCUUAUAUAUUGCACUUCGUAUCUUGCUGUCUUCUGCCAUGGUGUGAAACACCCAGGAAUGAGGCGGCCGCGUUAACCCGGUAUCCUUCCUGCAGACAGCGGUGUUUGCUUAUGUUUACUCACUGAUCGCGGGAGCUUGCGACUAGCGAAGGCAAAGGAAAGUUAGCCGCUGAGCGCACGAGAUCCUGGCUUUCGCCCAACAUGGACCUCGGGGAGGAACCAGCGAUGCAGUAUGGAGGCAUGGAGCUACAGACGAGUGGUAAGCUCCUGCCGUGGUGAGUGCUUGUCUGGGGUUGGCGCUAAUCCACAUCCUUGCAGGUGAGGCCCUGGCGCAGCACCAGGAUGGCGGUCACGUAGAGGCGCAACAGUCUGUGGCAGUGGAGCGGGCUGUGGCCGAGCCCGCUGCGGCCGAGGCGGGCUCGGCUGAGCCGGCCGCUGGUGAGGGCCAACCCAACGGCGCCGAGCACGCGGCUGCGGGCGAGGGCGACGGCGACGGCGAGGGCCAGGGCGGCGACGAGCAGCCCAGGCGGAGACGGCGUAAGUGGGGGCCGCCGGCACUGGAUGCGCCAGGCGGGGUGGAGGGGCAGGGUGCUGCCAGCGGCGGUGGGGGCUCGACGCCCACGCCUCCACCGGACGGCGGCGAAGGCGAUGAAGCGGAGCGCAAACGGCGGCGCAGGAGCAGGUGCGUUCGUGCGGUCUUCCUUGUAGGGGGAGCAGAAUUGCAUUGCGUGCAUCAAACGGGAGCUGGGGAUGCGUGUAUGUAGUUGGGGAUGGCAGACAAACGCAGUGUUGCAGCUCCAGCCGUGUUCCACUACACUGGUGGGACGGGACAGGAGUCAUCCUGCCUGACGAGGAAAGGCAUGAACGAGUAACAUGCUAGCGCACCUCCCAAUCUGUCUUGCACGUCUACGCGGCCACAGGUGGGAGGAGAGCGACGGCAGUGCUGCGGCCAACACGGCCCUGGCGGUGGUGCCGGCAGCGGGCGGCGGCGCGCUCAUGGCGCUGUUCCCCAGGGAGGUGGUGCUGUCGGGCGGAAUCAAGGUGCGUGUAGGGGGGGGUUUACAAGCAUGAUUAUGUUUAGAAGAAGUGAACUUGUAGCCAGCGGGGCGGGGGACCGGGAGAGCGCGACAGUGCGCGGAGGUCGGGUGGGUUGGGCGGGGGUGGGGUGUUGCGAGCAUGGCGAUGCGUGAGCGGCGAGAGGUGGGUGUGGGUGUGGCGGCACGGUGUGGCGGGGUUGGGCGGCUGCUGGGCGCUAUACGGGAUACAGACAACAUGGCGGAAGCGUCUUGUGUCAAAGGCGAGGUUGGCGACAAUCAUGAGACGGUGUGCGUAAGUGGCCAGGGGCAGUGGAAGGAUUGGGCAAACAGCCAUGCCUGUGCUCGAGGCGAUCACGCCAACUCAUGGUCUUUACGUCUUCCUGCCAACCAACCACCACUGCACGCGCCCCCCAGGUGUCUCUGCCCUCCGCCAUCACGGGCGCCCCAGACUCCUCCCUGGCCGCCACCGACCCGCGCGUCAAGGCGCUGCACGGCGAGCUGGAGACACUCAACAGGCGGCUGCAGGUGCGGCCGCGUAAGGAGGGCACGCAGGGAAACGGGUUGACACUGUGUAUGCGAUUGCGCAAGCGAACGUAUUUAGUUGAUGGGCGUCAGGUGGGGGUGGUGUCUUCCAAGCCCAACAUCGCUGAGCAACGUGUACUACCGAACCAGAAAACUUGCCGCUGAGCGCGGAGGAGGCGCGGCAUUCACCAUUCUUUCAAAUUAACAACUCGGGCAAAUGUUGUGCACAUUGUCCGCAUCGAUCUGAGCGCCCUGCCACUGCCGCCACUGCCAACGCCAUUCUGCUGCGUACACUGCGCCCGCACACUCUAAAUGCGCAUUCUUUACAUGCCCUUUUUCACCCUUUUCCUUGUCUGUUCACUGCCACACACACGCGCACACACACACACACACACACAUGCACACACACCACAAACAGAACAACGAGCUGGACAUCCCCCCGGAGGGGGACCCGCGCCGUUCGCCCUCGCCCGAGCCCGUGUACGACCGCAACGGCAUCAGGCAGAACACACGAGAGAUACGGUAGGGCCAGGCGGGCAGGGCAGGGCGGUUGAGGGGGCGCCAACGGGUGUUGCGCUUGCUCCCUGGCUGGCGUGCUUGACCAUCUAUGCUUGGCAAGCAUGCGCCGGCACCCGCGCCCGCCUCCCGGUCCCCCAGUCCUCCGGAACCCCCGUCCGCCCCUGCAUUCCUGCCCUUUCUCCGGUUCUGGAUUAUCGUCUGCUUCCUCCACCGCCUCAUCCCUUCCUCCCUUCACCCCGUGUUCCCGCUGUACCCCUGGACGUCGGCAGUUCCAUCCUUUGAUACAUACCGUUCGCAUGAGUGGCUACCCCCGAUGGUCUACCGUCUACCACCUCCCUAACUAUUCAUGAGUGCAAACCCCCGCCUGCAGCUACCGCGAGCGGCUGGUGGACGCCCGCAACAAGGUGGUGGAGGAGCUGCUGCGCGAGGACCCCGGCUUCAAGCCGCCCACAGACUACAGGUGGGAAGGGGGGAGGGGUGCGUGGCCGUUUGCCAAGUGGAACGGCACACAGCAGCGGAAAGCGACCAUCAGAGUGCGGAGCAAGUGUGGCCUGGGUUUGUGCUGUGGGCGCCUCUUUCCGGGGGAAGGGCAAAGGGGUGAAUGGGCUGAGAGACGGCCGGGCUGGGCGUGCGCACUGAUGGGAGGGGGGUGAUGGGAGGGGGGAGGAAAAGCCUAGUGGGCUGAGCGCUGCGCUGGUGGGGCAUGGGCGCGCAGCAAGUCCUCCGCAGGUGUGAAGGGCGAGGCGGGGCGGCCCACACCGUAGGCCCAGCGUUCGCAUCGCAGGAUGCCUCCUCGCACACGGUAGGCCACCCGCCGGCGCCCCACGCCCCAGCUGCUUUGACCCACAACCCUCCUCCUCGUCCUCCCCGCCCUCUCCUCACUUGCGGAUUCCAGCAAUAGACAGUGCAUCCCAGCGCACUCUGGCUAUCAUUUUGGGUUUUGUAACCCCACCCCCGCCCUCCCCCUCCUCUCCACCCCCAGGCCCAAGAAGUACUGGAAGAAGGUGUACAUCCCGCAGGACACCUUCCCCACCUACAACUUCAUCGGCCUCAUCAUCGGGCCGCGCGGCAACACGCAGAAGCGCAUGCAGAAGGAGACCAACACCAAGAUCGCCAUCCGAGGUGGGCGGGCAGGCUCCUUCGCGCCUCCCUGGCACAGGGCCGAGCUGCUGUGUUGACUUGCAGCACCUGCUGCACCCUUGUCCGACCCCCUCCCCCUCCGGCCCUGCCUUGUAAUGCUCGUUACCCAAACCCGCAACAGGCCGGGGCAGUGUGAAGGAGGGCGCCAGCCGCGACCCCAAGUACGACUACGGCGAGGAGGAGGAGCUGCACGUGCUCAUCACUGGCGAGCGGCAGGAGGACGUGGACAAGGCGGUGGACAUGAUCGAGCGCCUGCUGGAGCCCAACGACGACACGCUCAACGAGCACAAGCGCCUGCAGCUGAGGGAGCUGGCGGCGCUCAACGGAACACUCAAGGACGAGACGGUGAGGGGGGGGCUGGCGACCUGGGGAGGGGGUGGGAGGGCGGUGGAGGUACAUCGGCAUUGGCAUUGGCAGAGGGGAGCGAGCCGUACCCAAAACCCAUCUCGCCAAUGCCGCAACAUUGAGGGGGCUAUAGAGGGGGGGCUCUGCAAAGGGGUGGUCAUGGUGAUGGAAAAGCCGGGUUGGGCGGCUGUGAAGGCUGGGAGCUCCGCUCAAUCUGGCGAUGCGGCUGGCUUCUCUCCCAGCAUCCACCUCGCGAUCGCGCACGCGCCUCGCCUGCUCCCCGUUCACCCCUUGCCCGCUCCCCUCCCACAGGCCUGCUACGUGUGCGGCGACACCUCCCACCGCGGCUUCGAGUGCCCCAAGCAGCAGGCGGUGGAGGUCUACAAGUGAGCGCGGGGCAGUCGGGCGGGGGCAUGGGCGACGCGAGUGCAGGUUAUUUGGGCAUGGCCAGGAAUUCAUAACAAACCCAAGGCACUUGCAAGCCGCUGUUGAAUUACCCUGCCCACUCCUCUCCUACCUCCUCAGGCUGCCUGAGGAGAUGCGCCAAAAGGUGGAGGAGCUGUACGCGCGCGACGUGGCGCGCAUGGCGGGCGAGGGCGGCGGCGGGCGCGGCCCCGGGCUGGAGGACGAGUACAAGAGCUUCCUCAGGGUGAGGCGGGAGCGGGGGGNNNNNNNNNNNNNNNNNNNNNNNNNNNNNNNNNNNNNNNNNNNNNNNNNNNNNNNNNNNNNNNNNNNNNNNNNNNNNNNNNNNNNNNNNNNNNNNNNNNNNNNNNNNNNNNNNNNNNNNNNNNNNNNNNNNNNNNNNNNNNNNNNNNNNNNNNNNNNNNNNNNNNNNNNNNNNNNNNNNNNNNNNNNNNNNNNNNNNNNNNNNNNNNNNNNNNNNNNNNNNNNNNNNNNNNNNNNNNNNNNNNNNNNNNNNNNNNNNNNNNNNNNNNNNNNNNNNNNNNNNNNNNNNNNNNNNNNNNNNNNNNNNNNNNNNNNNNNNNUUGUGUGCGUGUGUGUGUGUGUUUGUGUGCGUGUGUGUGUGUGUGUGUGUGUGUUUGUGUGCGUGUGCGUGUGCGUUGUGUGUGUGUGCGUGUGUGCGUGUGCGUUGUGUGUGUGUGUGUGCGUGUGCGUGUGCGUUGUGUGUGUGUGUGUGUGUGUGUGUGUGUGUGUGUGUGUGUGUGUUUGUGUGUGUGUGUGUGUGUGUGUGUGUGUGUGCGCGCGUGUGCGCGUGUGCGCGUGUGCGCGUGUGUGCGUGUGUGCGUGUGUGUGCGUGUGCGUGUGCGUGUGCGUGUGCGUGUGCGUGUGCGUGGGGUGGAGUUCAUUACCAAAGAAACUUAGACAAGAAGCAGGGAAGCGUGGCCGAUUUGGACAACGGAGUGAUUGAAUCAGGGGAGGAGCGGGCGGUUGGACUGCUGAUAAUGCUAGGAUGACUAGGAUGGUGACCAAAACGAGAGUAGCGGGAUCGGUCGUCAUCGAUGGUGUGAUUGGGUGUCUGUGGCGCUGUCAACAUGAAGCAGCGCCCCGCCUAACCUUGUACCCCCGCCCUCUCUCAGCUGUACGUGGCCGGCCUGCCACCCAUCUACAACGACGCCAUGCUGAGGUCCAUGUUCGAGCCGUACGGACACGUGAGCGGGCGGAAGGGGGGUGGGGUGGGGGCGGGCAGGACGAGGGGAGCCGUUCAUGGAGAACGGAGUGAUGAAAUCAACACUAGGGGAAGGGGGAAUUGGGGCGCGGGUGGUCGAGGUGGUGUCUGGGGUGCCUGGCUUGGGUGCUGCCGCACGGUGUUGCCGGACAUUCCUACACAGGCACCCAACAAAGAGCCAGCACAAAGGCGCUCUCUCUCUCUGCCCUCCACUCAUCCCCCCCACCCCCAGGUGCUGUACGCGGUGGUGGCCACGGACGGCGCCGGCAACAGCCGCUGCUUCGGCUUCGUGCACAUGCCGGACGCCGCCACAGCCCGGGCCGCGCGCGACGCCGUGGACGGGCGGCCGCUGGAGGGCCGCCCGCUCACGGUGCGCCUGCGCAGCGAGCGACACGAGCCGCGCGGGCGGGGCGGGCCAGGCGGCGGCGGGCCGGGCGGCGGCGGCGGCCACGGGGGUCUGGAGGGCGUGGACGACGCCUGCAAGCUGUACCUGGGCCAGCUGCCGCCCAGCGCCACAGAGCAGGUGCGGGUGAAGUCGUGUGUUGGUGUGGGACCGUGGUAUUGCAAGGGAUGUGUGCGCGUGUGCCGGGAGUCGGCACGGCCCCCUCGCUACUGUGCUCAGGUCGGCAGCCCUCUUGGCUGUGACACGUGAUCCCCGCCUUUCCCCAUCCGCUACGCCUGCCCCCGCCGGCACUUUGGUCUCGCUGCACCACCUGACGGAGUAUACAUGCGAAAGCCCCCCCUCCCACUGUUCCUGGCUACGCCUUCACUUCUUUUACAUCAUGAAUGUAAACCCCCCCCCCCCUCCACGACGCCUCGGCCCCCUCCCAUACGUAUUAUCGCUUUGCAACUGACGCCUCUGGCUGUGCUCCACUACUUUUGCUUGGUUCGGUGUAGACUGAGCUGGUGUUUUCAACCCCGCCCCCAACCCCUCGCCCGCUCCUGAAUGCCCCGCCCCCCCCCCUUCAGCUGCUCAAGCCGCUGUUCGAGCCGUUUGGCGGUGUGCUGGAGCUGCGCCUCAUCCGUGACCGAGACACAGGGGCGCUCAAGGUGCGUGGGCGGGAGUGCGCGUGCGCGCGCGCGUAUGCGCGCGGGGGGGAGGGGUGUUUCAUAGUAAUGGAAACAAGAACGCGCGGAACGUGCGUGUUUUUCAAGAGUCCUUGAAAACCAAGCGAGAAGCAAACAAUCCGCCGCAUUUGUACGGGCGAUCAGCUGGGUGGGGCUUGAGUGCUUGACGUGCUGCCUUCCGAUUCCAACCCAUCCUCCCGCCUCCCACUCCACGCCUUAACGCAUCUUCCGCAUCCCGCUCGGCAGGGCUUUGGAUUCCUGACCAUGGCCACCCCCGCCGCCGCCGCCGCCGUGCUACGCGCCAUGCACGGCUACCGGCUGGACGGCAAGUCCAUUGUGGUCAAGCAGGCGGGCGCGCCGGGAGGAGGCCCGGGAGGCGGCGGCCCGGGCGGAGGCGGACAUGGAGGCGGCCACGGCGACCACCACUCGCGCCUGGUGAGCAGGUCAUGGCAUUGCGCGGGUAUGAACAAUGCCCUGCUCUACUUGUGAGAUGCCGUUGCACCUACCCGCCACUGUCCACUCAGCAGCCGCCUCUGUCCGCCACACCUGCCCGCCACCCUCCCCCCUCCCCAGGGCCCGGGCCGCAUGAUGGGACCCGGCGGCCCGUUCCCGCCCCCCGGCGGCCCACCACCCCCGCCCGGCGGCCCGCCACCGCCCUACCCGCCGCCCUACCCACCGCCUGGAGGGCCCCCGCCGCCCUACCCGCCGCAUCACCCGCCGCACUACCCGCCGCCCGGCGGCCACUUCCCGCCGCAGCAGGGCUACGGCGGCCACUACGGCGGCCCGCCGGGUGGCCCCCCGCCGCCCUACCCGCCGCCAGGGGGGCCCUACGGCGAGCCCGCAUAUGGCGGCCCGCCGCCGCCGCCCUAUGGGGCUCCGGGGCAGGAGCACGGGGGCUAUGGCUACGGGGGUGGCGGGGGCUACGGCUACGGUGGGCCUCAGGGUGGAUACGACGGCUACGGGGCAGGCGGCUACGGCGCCCCCCCGCCGCCGUCAUACGCCCCGCCCGGCGCCCCGCCGCCGCCGCCCCCUGACGGCGAGCAGCCGCCGCUGCCGCCCGGGGCUGAGCCGCCGCAGCACCAGUACGGCGGCCACCACCACCAGGCACCGCCGCCGCCGCCGCCCGGGCCGCCCCAGCAACAGGCGCACGAGGUGACCGAGUACGAGCGCUUCAUGGCGGAGAUGCAGCGGGGCCAGUUCUCAUGAGAGCGCCGGGUUGCGGCCCUCGGUUGCGGCCCUCAGGUCCACGUUCGCUUGGAGCGGGAAAACUACUUUCUUGUCUUAAGGCAACGUUAGACUAUAAGUUUACAAGUUGCGGCGAAAAAGACUCCCGUUUGACGGCGAAUUGGCAAGAGAAGCAGGCGACACGCCUCGAUGGGAUUUUAGGGAAUGGGGGUAACCUAUGGAACCAUGAUGUCCUGUAAUGUGCUUGUUAAAGACCGGGGAGUCUUCGGAACCAUGAUGGCGGGAAGAGACCUCCAUCCAUGCACAUCGCCCAUUCGCGCCAUCGGCAUUUGGCUCAAAGCGCUUCAGCAUGAGUAACUGCAAAUAUGUAUACCAGGAAGCCGAUCAUCGUCAGUCACAUAACGCCUUGUGAACGACCAAGAGAAGCUUUGUGCACGAAGUUCAGCAUGUCUUUCUGUGCAAAAUGCUUUUUCUUACUUGAAGAUCAGGCUCUCCGCAACUAAUUCUGCAGAAUUAUGCUAGAAAGCUUAGCACAGCGCGGCAAUUAGAACAAGGCCCCUUGCGGCCUUUGGACCCUUCAAGUGCUCUACAUUCCAGUGGCGUAUGAGUGCACAGGAAUGCUGCCGAUCCAUCGAUACAGGGCUAGCCGUGGAGGUGUGGCAUCCCGCCUCCCGCCACUUCGCACUUUGUAAGUGGUCACAGACAAAAACUUGUUUUGUCAGUUCUGUAUGACAAGUACUAAUGCCUAGUGGAUCCACGCAGAGCCGCUUGGACGCUGGGUGCCAUCGUACUUGCGCUGUCCGCGCGCUCACUGCUGCUCACGGCCUCUGUUCGACAGCUGGCCGAUGACUUCGGGCCACAGGCCAGCCACUGUAAUGGCCAUGACUGCCAUAUGCACUUAGUCGGCAGCUCACAACCGCUGGUCUGGAGCACGAGCUCGCCGCAACACCUAACCGGCAGCCUGAAGGGCUUUGAUAUCAGCAAACAUGGGCCAGCCACACUGCGGUCUUCUGGAAGCUCCUCAAGCGGAUCGUGGAGGUGAGCAAGGCUUGCGGGGCUGCAGGGGCUGAGCUGUGUAUCGGGUUCGGGGCCUCGCCUGACACGCUUGGGUGCGUACACAACGCUCACAAACAGUUUUGGAGCUUGGGUAUCGCUGGACGGCCACUUGGAGACGGCGAUGGACGUGACGGCUAUGUCGUACGGGUCUGUCAGCCUCAAGUUCGCAGCGCCGGGCGUGCCGUACCUCGUGUCCAACCCAAAUUGGCCCGACACGCGGCGGCGCUUCAGCCUGCUCACCGGCAUCCGCGGCCACUGCGGCGACAUGAGCCUACCGGGUCGCCGCACCACCUCGGACGAGGACGCAGCCAUGCUGUGUGCAACCACGCCAGGUGCGGACGGAGCGGCGUGGGCUGAGACCUCGGUGGCCCUGAUCAGCUGGGAGAUGUCACUAACAGCUCCCGCGCUGACGCCGCCCCAUGGCUCCAACACCGCAGGCUGCCAGGUGUUCACACGCGACAUCCACAGCCACACCACGGUGCUGUGCUACUCCUACUACGCCGCGGAGACGCACGACGCCAACUGGCACACUGGGCUGCUGUGGGACCCGCCCGCCUUCAGCCGUUUCGAGCAGGCCGUGGCGUUCGGGCAGUGGUGAGCACUGGGUGGCUGUCAAGCACGUUUGUCUUUUUGCUCCGUGCGGCUUGUUCGCUUUUAGCACAUUCGUUAUGCCCGUUACCACACCCAACAACACGCGGUGCCCCAAACCGCAGGAACUACUACCUGGUCACCUACAGCGCGGCGGCGGGUCUGCUGCGGCUGUACAAGAACGGCUUCCUGCUGGCCGACCUCACGCAGCAGCAGCAGCUGGCGGGGCUGCGGCCGCCCGCCUGGCUGGACCUGGGCGCCAGCGCGGCGCGGCACUGGGAGGCGCGCUUCCCGGGCCGCAUCGCCAACGUGCAGCUGUGGGCCGAGGAGCUGCAGCCCAACCAGGCAGCCAUGGCCAUGUACGGCAACCUGCCCCAGGCGGCGGAGGGCGGCCCGUCGCAGCUGCUGGGCGCCGCGCCGUUCGGCCCCUGGCCCGACCUGCCGCUGCCGCGCUCCGGCUGGCGGCCGCAAUACGCGGCGGCGGCGGGCGGCACCGGCGGCAGCCAGCGCUGCUCCGCGGCGGUGGUGAUCCCUGUAACCGAGGCGGACGCGCAGCUGGGUGACCUGCAGACAGCGGCGGCGCAGCUGCAGCAUUAUGCGGGCAUCGGCUGCGAGGCACACGUCUACUACGUCGCCUACGAGCCGUCGGUGCAACACGACCCGCCGCCGCCGCCUCAGAAGCAACAGCAACAGCAGCAGGUGCCGCCGGCAGCGGCCACGCAUCAGGCGUGGCCGAACCUGCGUGAGCAGCUGCUGGCGAUUGGCAGAGGGCCGGGCAGUAGCGGCAGCGGGCCGCGCAUUGAGGUGGUGGAGGCGCCGGCCCAGCAGGGCGACACGGCAGGCGGCCUGGCUGCGGCCUGGAACGCGGGUGUGCGGGCGGCGCUGGAGCACAUUGCCUCGGCGCACCCCGACGUGCCGUACGUGAUGCUGGCGGGCGCGCAGCAGCUGCCCAUGGACGGCUGGCUGGCGGCGCUGGUGCAGCAGGCGGAGGCGGACCCGGCGCGAGUGGCGGGCGUGCACGGCAAGGUGAUCUACCCCGACGGCACCGUGCUGUCGGCGGGCAUCAGCUUCCAGGUGGCCUACCACCCCUACCUGGACCGCCAGGCGCCCGGGCCCGUGGAGACGCACCAGGGCUACCCCUUCAACUACGAGCCGAUCGGGCAGCCCUACGACACGCCCGCCGCCGGCUGCUCCGCGCUGCUGCUGCGCGCCGCGCUGCUGCGGGAGUUGGUGGUGGACGGCGCGCUGGGCGACGCGCGGCUGGGCGGCCCCGGCGACUGGCCCUGCCUGGACCUGUCGUUGCGGCUGCGCAAGCGCGGGCAACGGCUGGUGGUGGCUCCGGGCAGUGUGCUGGUGAGCCUGGCCUACAACCGCACGCUGGACGGCCAGGCGGACGGCCGCGCGCUGGGUGCGUUCCUGGACGCGUGGGGGCCGCAACUGGAGGCGGAGGGCGCGGCGGCGCUGGAGCUCAACUCCACUGUGACGUGGGUGAUGCACUGCGGCGGCUCCAUGGGCAUUGAGGCCGCCAACCUGGUGCAGCACAUGGAGGGCCGGCUACGGCUGCGGGCGCAGGUGCAGCGCGGCUCGCCCUGGUGCGAGCACGCGGACGUGCUGCAGGGCACGCCGCGCGCCUUCGCCGACCGUGUGGGCCGGCUGCGGCAGCUGUCCGCCUACCUGCCCUCCGACAUCUACAUCCACCACAAGGACUACCGCCAGCUGGCCGCAUGGCCCUGGCCGCCCAGCAACUCGUCCUCCUACCUCAUCGGCCGCUACAUGUGGGAGGUGGACCGCGUGCACACGCAGUGGAGCCAGCAGAUGAUCCACGAGCUGGACGAGGUGUGGGUGCCCAGCCGCUGGCACGCCGACAGCUGCGUGGCGCAGGGUGUGCCCGCCUCCAAGGUGUUUGUGGUGCCCGAGUCGCUGGACGCCGCGCUCUACAACCCCGACAUCACCGACCCCGUGGCGCUGCCCGGCCGCCGCCGCGUGGCCUUCCUGGCGGUGUUCAAGCUGGAGGACCGCAAGGGGUGGCAGACGCUGCUCACCGGCUACCUCAAGGUGGGUAGGGGCAGGGGCGGGGGCGGGGGGACGCUGGGGCACGCGAGGGCGGUGAGGCGCAGGCGGGAUGCGGCUGGGGCCUGGGUUUUGGUGGGGGAGGGUGCGUGUGACGGCUUGUACUGCAGGUGGAUGGCACAGUUGACUGUUAGGCGGGCCAGUGGCACGUACACCUGUAUGUGGACCCCACCUUCCUGCAUCUUCCUGCUGCCGUCUCAUCCCUACCUACCGUGAACUACCGCAGGCGUUCCGCAACGUGAGUGACGUGUCGCUGUACAUCCACACCGUCACCUACCCCAGCCUGUCGUACCGCCGCGACUGGAUCCUGGACACCAUGAACAACUACCUGCGCGGCCUCAACGACACCUACCUCAACUCCACCAGCCUCUAUCCGACCCUGUCGCCCGGCCGCCCGCACAUCCACGUGUUCGGCCAGCACCUGUCGGGCGCGGAGAUGGUGCGCAUCUACUCCAGCAUCGACUGCUACGUGCUGCCCUCUCACGGCGAGGGCUGGGGGCUGCCCUACCUGGAGUCCAUGGCGCUGGGCAAGCCCGUGAUCGCCACCGGCUGGUCCGGCAUGACCGAGUUCCUCAACCCCAGGGUGGCCUACGUGCUCAACUACACGCUCAAGCCCGUGCACACGUCCGACCCCUGGUUCCAGGGCGCCAAGUGGGCCGAGCCCAGCGAGAGCGGCCUGGUGGCGGUGCUGCGCGAGGCGUACGCCAACCCGCACCGCGAGGCCAUGGGCGCGGCGGCGCGGGCCGAGGUGGUGGCCAAGUACGACAACAAGGCGGUGGGGCGCAGCAUCCUGCAGCGGCUGAAGGAGGUCUCCGCGCAGCUGGCUGCGGGCGGGCCGAGGCAGCCCCGGUCGCUGGACAUCAGCAAGGACCCGGUGCACAUCGACCUCCACAUGUGCGCCCUGGCACCGCGCCUGCCGCGCGCCGUGCCACCUCUCGGCCAGGCUGGCGCCAUCCGGAUGGCCGUGGCCACCACCUGGGCACCGCGGCCGUGCGGCAUCGCCACCUUCACGGACGCGCUGCUGCGGUCGCUGCGGCCGCUGCUGCCGGCCGGGUCGCAGGUGGACGUGUUCCCCAUCAUCCUGGACCUGCAGAUGCCCACCAACCUGACCGACCCCUACCCGCCCAACGCCAUCCGCCAGUACAACUACGGCGACUACGUGCGCGCCGCCGCCGCCAUCAACUCCGGCGGCUACAAUGUGGCCAUGCUGCAGUACGAGUUCGGCAUCUUCGGCGGCACUCACGGCUCCUACGCCACCUGCUUCAGCAAGCUGCUGCGCGUGCCGGUGGUGUCGGUCAUCCACACGCUGUCCGACAACCUGCCCGACGAGCACCACUACAACCUGCAGAACCUGGCGGGCGUGAGCGACUCGGUGGUGGUCAUGUCGCCCGCCUCGCGCAACAAGCUGGGCGCCUACCACGGCAUCCCCGGCGGCCACGUGGCGGUGCUGCCGCACGGCGUGCCGCGCGUGCCGCAGGUCAACACCGCCGCCGUCAAGGCCUCGCUCAACGUGACCGGCCGCACGGUGCUCAUCACCAACGGCCUGAUCCAUCCCGGCAAGGGCAUUGACCUGGUGCUGCAGGCGCUGCCCGAGGUGGUGGCGGCGGUGCCCAACGUGCUGUACCUGGUGGUGGGCGAGCCGCACCCCGGCUGCAAGCAGACGUGCCUGGACCACUACAAGCACCUGCAGGCCAUGGCGGCGGAGCGCAACCUGACCGGCAGCCACGUGCGCUUCGUGACGCAGUUCCUGGACGAGGACACCAUGAUGCGCUACAUCCAGGCCGCUGACGUGUAUGUGCUGCCCUACCGCGACCGCAUCACCACCAACAGUGGCACGCUGUCCAUGGCCAUGGCCGCUGGCAAGGUGGUGGUGUCCACGCCCUUCGAGCACGCCGCGGUGGCGCUCAUAGGCGGGCGCGGCGUGCUGUUUGACUUUGACAACUGGCGCGCGCUGCGGGACGCGCUGCUGGGCGUGCUUGGCGACUUCCCGCGCCAGGCGGCGCUGUCCAAGGCGGCACGCGAGUACGCCAGCGGGCUGGAGUGGAGCGACGUGGCGGCAGGCUACCUGCGGCUGCUGACCAAUGUCACGCAGAGCGCCAGCAUGGCAACAGCGUAAGAGAGCGAGAGACUAUAUAGGAGUCGGGACGCGAGCGGUGUAUGCGUGAGCGAGUGAGUGAGAGGGAGAGAGCGUGUGUGUGUGUGUGUGUGUGUGUGUGUGUGUGUGGUAAAGGACAUCACACGGAAGCCGUGUGUGUGUGCCUACCCGUUAACAGUUACUGAGGGUAAACCACCUUUCUUGUCCAUGCGGUUUGUGCCAGUGCCCAAGACACAGUUUUACGGCAUGGCCCUGGCUAAGGAGAUCAUGUAAAUGGUCUAGCGGCAGCUACUGGGGAAGGCUACUGCAGUAAGCAACAGGAGGAUACGGUGUACCGCGGCGCUUGUCGGGGCACGGCUUCCACGGCAUCCAAUGGCGUGCUUUGAAGCAAUGUAAUAAAUGUGGAAGGCGUACACGUGCGUGACUGACGCAACACAACUGCCAAUGGUUAACUAUGGAACAGUCUGGCACGACGUCUGCGGCGAAUGACCAUGCUCUCUAUUUAACUGCAUGAGUACACAUGGAGAUCGCCCAGGUUUGGGCCCGAUAUGCACGUCAGUUGUGCUCAACGUAGCCAUCGAACGAAAUAGCCAUGCCGGCGUGAUGUCGACAAGGCCUAACGUACGUGCCAUGGCGCCUGCUGCAGCCUGUGUUGCGAAGCACAAGGAAACAAGGGGUGUCAGCUUUGUACAGCUGGAAAAUGGGCUGAGCCCCCGUACGCUUGGGAGCUAUUAGGCGUGUAACGCCACGUCAGAGCCUCCAUGCCGCUACGACGCGCAGGCGCAUCGGCUAGGGACACUCGGGUUGGGGCCGUGCGGGAUUUCCCGCGCCACGCAUGCGUGCCUUGUCACGCUCCCAAACACCCCAAGCAUUUCUUUCGCCUCCUGCCAUACUCAACACCUCCCCGGCGCCCCACGCUCAAAGGGCUGGGCGCGGGGCGGGGGCGACCUCGGGGCUUCUCGGCAUUCUGGCGCGUCGGCAGGCAUGGCUCAGCAAGUCGCUCAGAACUUUCGAUAUACUUCCCCGCUUUGCUUGCCGCCAACAUAUUUUGCCUUAGAGACUGCAUAUCAGCGGGCACCGGAUGCUUUCCUCGCGACCUCGCGAAAGUCAAUUGUCCAUGGACCGCGAAGGCACUUCUCGCUCCGCCCGAAUUUUCCCUGCCACCUAUUUACAUGCAAUAGGCAUUAUCAAAUACUAAUACGUAGCAGUCGCGGUUUGCGCCAGUAUGCUAUGUUUUGCCGACGCACGCAGCCACGCAGCCACGGACAGGGGUGUUCCUGGGGGGCUUCGCCCCCCCCCUGGAACGCUUCGCUGGGGGGGCUCAGCCCAAAAAACCAAGUGCAAAGACAGUGUAACCGAUGCAGCGUGUGUGUGUGUGUGUAUGUGUGUGUGUGUGUGUGUGUGUGUGUGUGUGUGUGUGUGUGUGUGUGUGUGUGUGUGUGUGUGUGUGUGUGUGUGUGUGUGUGUGUGUGUGUGUGUGUGUGUGUGUGUGUGUGUGUGUGUGUGUGUGUGUGUGUUAAAGAGCACAAGGAAAACGUUGCGCAAAGACAGUGUAUGCGAUGCAGCAAAGCGACGGUUUACGGAUGUUACCUGAAGUUACCGUACCUCGCACACCUGCUGCGUUGAGCCGCCGGUCUUACCAACCGGAAAUCGCGCAACCCCCGCUACUCUAACCUCGAGGGGGGAUUAGUGUCCACACGCCCUCAAGGGUGCAAACCCAUGCAUGUGCUCACGGUACCGUGAGGCCCAGGCACUCCUACGAUUCCUAGCUCCGCGCCGCUACUCCUGGCCGCUAAGUCCAAGCUCCCACCCAAUCCUCGAUGAAAUUCUCACCUACGAGCGAAUAAGAAAAUAACAGGGUACAGGGCGGCGGCAGGGGAGUGUCACGAACAAGAGCGAAGGAACAUGUUAGCGCGGCGGCGCGCGACGAGCAAGAGCAAACACGCAGCCCAGUCCCAGCCCAAUUAACUAUAGUAGGGGUUGCGCGAUUUGGGAAAGAGACGGAGGUUGGGCGACCACGAGCAAGUAAACAGGCGGGGGACGGCAUGGGCGCAUGCAUGACGGCAAAUGCAAACGGGGUGUCAGCACCACGGGCUGGCGGGGGAAAAACCCCGCUCCCCGCUCCAUGGUGCGACGGAGGUGGCACACGCUAGGUACUCCCCUGAUGCGGCCAUGUAGCACCAGGUCCAAGUACACGCACAGCUUAUGGGGACGUCGAUCUCGCGGGGCGGCGGCAUGGGGAGGGUGGGCCCAAAGUUAGUACAGUACAGGUUAUGGCGCAAAUCAGAGGAACGAGACAAGCAGGAGGAACACGGCGCGCCCGAGGCGCCACAAGGCCCCCAGCCCGGUCCCCGACCCCGCGGAACGGGCUCCAGGCCUAGUGCCCAAAACUCGACAAGAUAGCAAUUGUGUGUAUGUGUAUGUUGGAAAGAAAACAAGUUAAACAACAAACGAAGCCCGCCCAGACGGCGCGCCGGAGUUACUUACGGAUACCUACCAAGUUUUAGCGUCGUGUAGCGCGUCGACCCGCAAAAAGCCUGGACCCCCCCCCCUCAUGCGAUCGACGAACGGCCUGACCCCGAGACCCGAGUGGCCCCCAUAUGCAUCGUAUGCGCCGCGCCCUGGGCGCGCUACAACGUGGACCCAGCACGCCUAAUGCCCUGAUUCCCGCCCGCUCGUCGUAGUCGAGCUCACCUACGGGUGAUGGAGGAAUUGCAGGCACUGUGUGUGUGUGUGUGUGUGUGUGUGUGUGUGUGUGUGUGUGUGUGUGUGUGUGUGUGUGUGUGUGUGUGUGUGUGUGUGUGUGCGUGUGUGUGUGUGUGUGUGUGUGUGCACUGUAACGACGGGAAACUCGCGUCUCGGCGCGUCUCAGCGCGUCCGAGCGCGUCAGGAUGCGUCAGGGGGCGUCUGGCCGCGUAUCGUGACGCGAGUGCUGAGACGCGAACAGUGACGCGAACUACUUUGAAGGGGACCCAUACCGUGGUGCGCACGGUGUUUUACACUAGCCUAUACUGCUAUUGCGACAAAUGUAGCCUUGCCCGGCAGUAUGUGGGCUAUCAUGGGCAGAUUGGCCCCUGCACCUGCGCCUGCUGCCGCAAGCCCCUGCACCCCUGGCCCUGCACCCGGGCGGGCUGGCCAGCCCCGCCUCUGCCCCGUCGCCCCAACCAACCUUUAGGCGCAGUUCAGCCAGCCUGCGCCAGCCAGCCGAUAUGUGCCGAUACUGCUUACAACAAGCCUAUUAGCCUAGAUACAGUAAGCAAAGGCAUUGGCACAGGCGAGCAUCGGUGACACCGGUGCAAUCGGUCGCCCACCACCAAGUAUUUGCCCCUUGCCUCGUUUGACCGCUAUUCUCUUGAAAACAUAAACAUGACUGACGAACUCAUGAAUCACUCAUGAUACGUCUGCCAACGGGCCUUGUUCCGUUGGUGGCGGCCUGGGGCCUUCAGAGCGCGCUUCACAGCGGGCUUGUAUGGCUCCAGGCCGACCAACCCACCUCAGCGCUUACUGCGCACGUAGUGCUGUCAAUGUUAACAUUAGUGUUAGUGCUGGCGGCUCUGGCAACGGUUCACCUGAGCUUUGCUCCUCGCGCUAUCAGCCAAAGUUCACAAACGGAAGAGCUACAAAUCUUCAUUAGGCUUCCUUCAGGGCAACUCGUCACGUUCGUGGGACCUGUCGAUGCCACUGUGGGCUCUGUCUUCGACUUUAUCGCUUCCACGACCCUCUUCCAUCUAGAUAACAGCCGGAUAUGGCGCUUGGUCGCGCGCGGCGGCGACACGCUGCUGGAGCGUUCGACCGUGCUGGCACGUCGUGGCCUGGCGUCCGGUUCCGAGCUGCAAGUGCUCGCACGGCUAAUGGGUGGCACUCCAAAGAGAAGGCCAUCAGCACCCUCAGGUAUAGUUGUUGGGAGUCAAGAGGCUUGGCACGGCAAAGGACUUACAACCACACCGUGUGCACGCAGACAACUGGCUCAGCCUCCACCGCUUCACCCGCUUCCGAAACCACUUCGGAGACCCCGUCUACACGUGCACCAACCCUGGAUGCCGUUCGCCAACACAGUUCAAGGAUAGAGCGGCUUGCUCUCGCCACGAAAAAUGCUGUGAGGGUGCACCUCGGGACCUCCCUCUCCCUGCCGGUACCGGUGGCGAAGGCGGCCUAGGAGACGCUGACUUUCCUGAGGGAGGGUGGGAUUCGCCUGCGGGUUCUGUUAGUGAGAGCGACAGCAUGGACACUAACGGUAGCGGCACCGGCAGCGGUAGCGGCACCGGCAGAGGUAGCGGCACCGGCAGCGGUAGCGGCACCGGCAGCGGUAGCGGCACCGGCAGCGGUAGUGGCACCGGCAGCGGUAGCGGCACCGACGGCGGCGGCGGCGGGAAUGUUGGCAAUGGCAGUGACAGGAGUGUUGGUGGCUACAGUAAUAGCGGCAGCGCCCGGGUGGACAGCGACUACCUAUACUCCGAUGAGGAAGAGGAAGAUGCUGCUGACGCUGAACCGGGUAAGUAUCGCGCAGGUUGCGGUCCUCCUUUGCGCGCCGCAAGCCUGGGUCUGGGUGCUGGGUCAUGCCUCUGUCCUGGGGUUCUCGCUUCCGGACAUGGCUUAUGUUCAGAUCGUUGAGGAGCGACAUCUAACUUUGCAUUACCCUGAUGUCCCGCCCAACCCUGCCCCCCCACCCCCAAUCCACAGGUCAUUUCCUGGCGGCAGCUCUACACCGCGUUGUGGCUUCUCUCGACCAGGACGACCCUGCCAACAUCAACACCAUUGAGCUGCUGAAUGCUAUUCUGCAGCAAUUCGGGCACCUGGCGCCUGUUGACGGCGACGGUGAUGCUGAUGACCAAGCCGGUGCGGUUGCCAACGACCUUGCGGCGCAGGGUAUGGUCAUGCAACCCACCAACAUCUCCGAACUACAGCAUGGUGCGCGGUCUGUGCAGCACUUCAAGGGCAUCAUGUCAGAGCCGCUGUGGAGAACAGGCACUCAAUGUAAGUCGGGAUGUGGGUCGGGUCGGGUCGGGCGGGGUUGGGACAGCGGGAUUUCGACAGGCUUUGACAAGGGAGCUCUGGGGUAUGGCGUGGUGGGCGCAGCAGCAGGCGCGGGCAACACUGGAAUGGAAUGGGUAUUCGAACUGCCACUGCAACGCCACGGAAUUCUGUGUAUGUAACGGCGCACUUGAUUGACGCGAUGCACCUCCCUUGCCGUGGCUUUCACCCUCUCCGCUGGCACACUACUGCAAUUCCGGUACGACACCUAUCUGCGCAGCUGCACCUAUCACUGUGGGGCAGUUUGCUUACGCUUGGAUGAAGGAGAAGAUUGAUGGGCGCGUACGGGAUAAUGUUGCGGACCGUCAGCUGCGUUUCCUUCGUGACGUGUGCUUUCCACCUGGCAAUAACUUGCCCCCGUCGCUGUACAUAAUGAAGAAGAUGUUGGACAUUCCAGACGCACGUGACUUUGAGAAGCACGUUUGUUUGAGCGACAAGUGCUUGUUCCCUGAUUUCCCUCGAGAUGAGUGGCACCAGCACCUGCAAGAUGAGUGCGGCUGCGGCCAUCGACGGUUUAAGCCUGCCCGGCCAGGACACCAACCAGUUCCGAACAAGGUACGUUGCAUGCUUUACUUGUUGCCCAUGCGGAGCCUCCCCAUAGCAAUAAGUCUCCCCAGGUCUCCCAAUCCUGCAUGCCCUUGUUCCGUCAACCCUUCUUGACUUCAGUGCCCUUUGCCAUGACCGCGUGCACGUGCUGUCUUCCCACAGAGGUUCUACGACUUCGGUGUCGAGAAUGUCGUGCGCGGCAUGUUCAUGGACCCACGGUUCUGCACGUUUCGCGGCACAGGGCGCGACAACAACCCUGACGACUUCUACGGCUCGCGGUACGCGCAAGACAUCAAUGCCAAGACUUCCGGCGAGUUCUUCGAGCCCGACAGCUCGGCUUACGACCUGGGCUUUGACUUCGGCGAGGUCUUCUCAUUCAAGAAGUACAGCUGCGGGAUGCUGUUCAUUCGGUGCGUGUGACGGACCUCAGCCUGUUGUAUAGUAUGGGCAAUUGCUUUCCUGUGCACCUACAGUGUCUCCGUGUGCAUUUGAUGUAAUGGGCAUCGUUAGGUAUGUGCCUAUGCUGUAAUCAUCACCCACCAGACCUUAUUGCUCCCCUCUUUAACUGCUGUCUUCAGGUGCGCGGACCUGCCAGUGACUCAACGCAGCAAGCGCCGCCACUGCUUCCCCCUGAUCAUCACGCCCGGACCUUCGGAGCCUGACUCAAUGGAAGUCUACUUGCGCCCAACACUGACAGCAUUCAAGGCCUUCGGGCCUGGCACCGAGGGUAUGACCGUGGUGGACGCUGCUUCGGGCCGGACCUUUGGGCACAAGAUGUUUCUGGGCGGUAUCUUUGCUGGUGAGUGGGCUUUUAGUCCGUGCUGGGGCGGGAGCGUUUGGGGACGGUAGUGGUGGGGCGGGGGCAGGAGUGCUCAGGCGUGGGCGGGAAUGCUAGGGUGGUGUGGGAGAGCUGGGGCAGGGGUGGGAGUGCAGGGGCGGGGCGCGGGGCAGGUGUGCUGGGGUGGGGUGGGAGUGCUGGGGUGAGGGCAGGAGUGCUGUGGCUUAGGUGGGCAUGAUGGGGCGGGGUUGGGCUGGUGGUGGUGGUUCUGGGGUGGGGGUAGGAGGACUGGGGGCGGGAGUGCUUGGGUCCGUAUGUUGACCUCUGCUUGGUCUGCACGCAGAUACGCCUGCAAACCGGACGUUGAGUCUUUGGCUCUCCCAUGCGGCCAAGAACGCAUGUGGGCACUGCAUGCUGCUGGGAGAGACUGGCCCUAACGGCCAUGGUACAUACUUUCUGGGGUACAACAAGCCGGCGGACAUCAACACAGCGCUGAACGUCCUGUUGCCACCUGACUGUCAGAUGCCAGAGACUGCACUAUGCGGUGACAGCAGGAUCCGGAUCUCUCAUGCGCACCACAUGGAUCGGGCACAGGUUGUGGAAAGUAAUCAUGACUUGGCAUCGGCGCUGGGUUGCCAUGGCAUUUCCUGCAUAGCGAAGGAGCUGUCGUACAUAGACAUGAAUAACGUGUGGGUUGUGCCCAUAGCGCAUGCAGCUCUGUUCGGUGUCAUCAAGAAGUUCUGGCACUUUGUGCUGGGCGAGUCCGUCAAGAAGGCUGAGAGUGACUUUGUGUUAAGUGUAGAGGCUCGUCGCAGAAUGACUGCACGUGCAUCCCAUUUCAUCAUUACUAAUGACUUUAACCGACCCUACCGUGACAUUGUCCCCUGCUCGUACUGGACCAUGGAAGAAUGGCUGAUGUGUGUGUGCGUGUGUGUGUGUGUGUGUGUGUGUGCGUAUGUGUGUGCGCGUGCGUGCGUGCGUGCGCGCGUGCUUACAGGGUGGUGCACACGAUCGUGGCGUGCCUUCCUGUCUCGUGUAAACCGGAGGCGCGGGCCGGGGUAACCCUUAUAACGCGAGCAAAUGAUAACGUCCGUCUUAUUGUUCUCCCUUGUCAGGGGCACGUUCCUAGUCCUACGCUCCCAUAUAUACUAAACGGCGGCUGACCUGGCAAGCCCAGAUCUGUGCAAUCUGUCGACGCGCCUUGCCCGAGUCCCGUAGGGAUAUGGGGCAUCGGGAAGGUGUUAACUGUGCUGGAGGUGUGUGGAAAGGGAAUGGCGUCGAUGGCGUGUGGAAUGUACACACCCGUCUGGCUUAGGUAGCCCCCAAGGUCCGGGCCUCGCUUCCGGGUAGACGGGUAGACGUGGGUCCAUCGUCCGUCUACCGAUUUGCAUUCAGUCCUCCCCGGGGCUCAGCGCAUUUCCCAGCUGUACAAAGCGGACACCCGUUGUCGCGCUUUCGCUUUAUGCCAUUGCCCCCCAGCCAUCCUGUUCCUGCUCUGACUCGCCAUCCCUCCCCAUUGGGAAACGAUGAGGGAUUUACCUCGCAUGGCCCUCGCCACCACUGCAAUUCACCUAGUUGCAAAAGUGGUGUUAGGAAUAGAGCAACCAUAGUUGGCCGUGCGGAGCUCAUCACCAGCAUUCCUACACAGCGCCACCCGCAUGGAGCCUGGCGCGAACUGUCGCCUCCCACCCAUCUGCACAUCCUGUCCCCCAUGUACCACCGAACGCGCACAGCCCCCCCCCCCCCCCCAUUGACGUUCUCGGGUUCCUGUUGGGGCGGUCUGGGUCAGCUGGGUUUGGCCAGAGUUGUGCCGUUCGUGUCUGAGCCCCAUGGUUUUUGCCAUUGCCCCCCAGCCAUCAACAUCACCAUUGUCUAGCAACUCCUGUAUUUGAGGGCAUUAAAUUACAGAAUGGGAUGAAGCGCCCAGCCCUUAGUUUCCUUAAACCAAAGCUGAACCUGCGGCGGGUGCUUUUGGCCCUUGCGCUCAUUCCUUUUGUGUCCUUGUAUAUUAUUAGUAAGCGACAAACAUGGAUCGAGGACAUGGGCGGUGUGCACGUCCCGCGCUGCGUGGGCUGGCGCGCGACGUCCUACUGUCAGCUGCUAGGGUCAGUUGCACCACAGUAUUGAAGUUAUGUGCACUGUACUGAGAAAUGCUUCGGGCGCAGGGCGCGACAGCCAGCGAAGGAUAGGUCAUGCGAUGCUCUCAUACGCGGGGAAGCAGGCUAUUGCCUGUGCGAGGGCGGCAUCACCGUUGCAAGGUAGGCCAGGGUACGUUUCAUAGCGGGGUGGAGCGAGGGCGCUGAUCGGGGUGGGCGGGCAGUCACGCUGACCGGCUCCCUGCUCGCCCGCCCCUGGCAACAGAGUGGGCUGUGGACCUCACAGAUUCCGGUGUCGUGAGAAAUGCGCCGAGCUUGCCACCGACAGCUCGGCAGCGGUAAAGCUUCCCCAGCCGCUGACCUGCGCGGCAGACACCAACGUGUCAGUAUCUGCCUCUACCUUCGCAGCUGCCCUGCCAACGGUGCAAACCCCCAGCAGUAACUAUAGCACAGCUGAUGUCUGGAACGUCGUCGACACGCUGCUGAUGAAACACGGUGCGUACACGUCUUCUUGCAUAGGGGUGAAGUGCAAUGGCAACUUGCAGCGCCCAUCCUUGCAGAUCCGCAACGCCCCAUCCGGUCUGCCAUGCACUGCACCACCCGGUUUGGCCGCAGGCCUGGGCGAGGUGGCGCUGCCGGGCAGCCGCACCCACAGAACGGACUGGGUGAUGGAGGGGCUGCGGCUUGGGCGAGCCACGGUGGAUCAGCUGGCGGCGGUGGUGGCGGGCGUGCUGGCGGACGUGCCGCCCUACCCGCCGGCCGCCUUCUCGGGGCGGGGCGUGGUUAUGGUGGGCGGCGGCCUGCACUACCUCAUACCCGCCUGGGCCAGCCUCAGCGUGCUGCGCAAGUCAGGUGAGGGGCUGCCAAUGGGCCACCUGUCAUGGCUGCAUUAGUGUAAACACUGCACGUGUGCUGGUGUGUUCUUUCUGCCUCCCUCGCGCAGGCUGCCAUCUGCCGGUGGAGGUGUGGUUCCCGGUGGCGGAGCAGCCCAGCCGGCCCGCGGUGGCGGCGCUGGAGGGGCUGGGCGGCGUGGCGGUGCGCACACUGGAUGUGGUGGACCUGCAGCAGCGGGGCUUCGCACUCAAGUCCGCGGCGCUGCUGCUCAGCAGCUUCCAGGAGGUGCGGCCGGGGGCAGUGGCAGUGGCAAGUUUCGGUAUGCAUCCCCAAACGGCCUCACGCCCCUGCGCCUGCCUGCCUGCCUCCCCUCCACUCCCCUGCUACCAAGGUGCUGUUCCUGGACUCGGACAACCUGGCGGUGCGCGACCCCAGCCCCCUGUUCGCCUCGCCGCAGUACGCCGCCACCGGGGCGCUGUUCUGGCGGGACUUCUGGGACCGCUCCUCCGUGCCCGAGGUGCGCGCGUGUGGGCUGGGCAGGCGGGCGUGUGUACGGGCGUGUGUGCGCGGCCGUGGGGGUGCGUCAGGGCGUGUGGCUGGCCAGCCGCCUUCCACCAACCUGCUGCGGCCUCUUGUUGCUGUGGUGGCAGAUUCACGAGGUCCUGCGCUUCCCGAAUGAACAAGUGCCCAAGGUGACCUUUGAGAGUGGCCAAAUGGUCAUUGACAAGGCCAGGUGGGAGGUGGUGCUGAAGGGGGGCGCUUGUUCGUAUCAGUAUCGUAUCUUGCCUUUACCGGGGCCCACCAACUAGGGGCCAGCAUGAGACUUGCCUAUGAUAAAGACUGCAGGAGAUGCCGGCCCCGCUUUUGACUGGGAUAUAUGCCCCCAUCACCACCACCACCACCUCCCUGCCGCUGCCUCAGACACUGGCGCGGGUUGUUACUGGCGGUGUACAUGAACGUGUACGGCAAGACCUUUGCAGAGCUGCUCAGCUGCUACCUGGGCAAGGUGCGGGCAGGCGGGCUUGCGGGGUCGCGUUGCUGCUGGGUCCAUGGUAAUCCGCUUCACGUCCACAUCAUGUCAACCGCAGGGCGACAAGGAGACGUUUGUUUACGCCAUGUUGGCGGCGGGGGAGGCGUACUGGGUGUCGCCGCAGCCUCCGGGCAGUGCUGGUGUGGUGCAGGUGCUGUGCGAGCCGGGCCGCGCCGCCAGCUGCAGGCGCCAGUUUAUGGGCAACACCAUGGUGCAGCCGGGGCCGGACGGUGAGGCGUGUAUGUGCGUGUGUGUGCGUGUGUGUGUGUGUGCGUGUGUGUGUGUGUGUGUGUGUGUGUGUUUAUUCCAAUGCCAAAGAAAGCAACACCCAGGACAAGCCCAAAGAGCGCGGAGGAGGUGUAGCCUUGACCUGUAUCUUGGACGCCCUUGAGCCUUGCCCUUCUUGUCGGCGUUGGCCGUAGACCGUAGACAGUCAACUCACUUACGAUCAACACCCAGCUCACGGCGCGCUUGCAACCCAACCCGGAAAGCUACUAGCGCAACACACAUUGUAUACCGGUACCCAUCGAUAUGGCGCGAGCUGCGGUAGGAACUUCGUCACAGCCUUGACGUUCAGGGCCACCAGCUGCUCGUCAAUAGUCAUCAGCGACGACAUGGUGUCUAGAGUGGUGUCUAGAGUGGUGCAUUGGUGUCUAGAGUGAUGGAGACAAAGCUUACAGCUAGGACAAUGCAUGGGACCCAUGGGACCCAUCGCGCUGCUGGUUUGCUUCAUGCAACCACCAUGCUCAACCGCCAUGCUGUGAAGAGGCACCAAGGCACGGUGAGGUAGGGUAACGCGCGGCUGACAUCAGAGCGAUACGACCAGGGCUGCACUUGGGGAGGAGGAGGCUGUUCAUUCCACUCCCAAAAAGACAUAUUGCCAACCCAGAACAGGCAAGCCCAACGAGCGCGGAGGAGGGGGGGGUCGGACGCGAACAGCUCUUACACAUGCCGGGGGAACUGGCAUUAGGUGCAGCUUGCCACCUGACCCGUGUCCCGCAAAAAAGCGCACACUUGGCACGUGCACCCCGCACCACAGGCCUGCCGCUCUUUUUCCACGCCAACUAUGAGAAGUGGGACUUGGCGCUGCCCGCGGCCUUCGAGGCAUACCAGCGCCGCUGGCAGGUGCUGGCGCCGGGCGGCCAGGACGUGGUGGGCGGCGUGUUCCUCAACACCAGCUACGGCAUAGGGUGGGUGCCGGAGCUGAGUGGUGCUAUCGCCUGGCCGGGCGCCCGGAGCGUUUGGACUGCGCGUCGGCACACCCUAUGAGCCAGCCAGCGCGAUCAUUGGUGAAGUCACCGCGAACCCAUUAUGCGACUCUUGCCCUUGCCCGCCUUGUGCGAUUUGUGGGCCGGGAUUCUAGCCAUCACACUCGGGACUAUGCUUCUCACCACCCUCCGCUUGUGCUUGUACUAGGUAUUCAACGGCAUAGGGUGGGUGCCGGAGCUGGGUGGCAGGGGGCAGCGCUGGGUGGCAGGGGGCCGAGCGUCGCGCGCGACAAGCAACUUGUCACCUUUCAUGCCUCAGUGCGCCUUGAUUCGAUUGAACCCGCCACAAAACUCGCACGCCUCGCGAUUGCAGCUACGACGUGGAGCGGCACGUGUUCCAGGUGCUGUCGGCUCUGCGCUGCGCCCCCUGGUUCACCGCCUACUACCAGCUGCGCCUGGCGCUGGACGACCCGCCGCUGCCGGCGCUGGACGGCUUCCACCCGCUGCCCAACUACAUCUCAUUCAGGCCCUUCUACAGGUGCGUGCAGGUCGGCGGUGGUGCCGCGGUGCUGAUAAGGUGUUGCACAGGGGCUGCUGGAUGCAGCUCUAGGCGAACUGCCCGAAGGCUGGGUGUUGUGGCGCAGCUACGCGUGCCCCACGAAUGGUGGUCUGCAGGCUGCUUGCUGUCCUGCUGCCAGCCUUGUUUGACAGGGCUGCGUCCCAACACCGAGCCUUUGCUGGCCCUCGCACAGGCUCGGCUGGUCCGGCGCCUACAUGGGGCUGUUCCGGCCCAGCCUGGGCGACCGGUUGGUGCACGCCUACUACCGCGUCCUGCGCUGGCGCCUCAAGCCGCUGGAGCGCCGGCUCAAGGGCAAGAAGUGACGCACGUGACGCGGGGCGGUUUGGGGUAUAACGAAGUACUGUUACAAAAUGGCUGCGGUUCUAAAGCAGAGGCGCAUUUGAGUUUUACCCACGGCCACCCAGCAUUAGGGCGGGGGCGGGCGUCACGGGCGGGCGUGUGCGUAAACUAAAUCAUGGGUGCAGCACGUGUGGAACCUAUGAAGAGUGAUGAAGUACACUUGAAGGUGAACAACGCUGAACAAUACACCGUCCUGAGUGGUUCGCCUGUCCUAGGCGCAAACUGAACACAUUGCUUCGGCGUGUGGGGACGGCGUUGGCGAGAGCUACGGAUGGCCCUAGUACUGUGGGGGCAUGUCGCACCCGUGGAGGGCACUGUAACCGAGUGCCUUUGCCGAUGUUUCGAGAAUUUGAACUCAAUGCAUUAAACAAACACAGCGUUACAGUUGCAAAGCAGGAGCCCAAACGAGUGACGCAUGCGAGUUCGGCCACCUUUGGAAGGCAACUUCGAUGCCCGUAGUCCCCAGCGUCCCCAACCAAGGCUUUCCGAAACGUCACCCAUUCAAGUGCUCUUUGUAGGUUCCACCUGCACCCAUACUUCAGUUUACGCACACGCCCGUCCUUCCCUACUGCUCAGCUCCUCCGCGCCCCCUCUACGCCAGCGCCAGCAGCGGCGCCUCCAUGUAGUUCUUGAAGGCCGCCAGCCACUCCGCCCCCAUGGCGCCGUCGAUGACGCGGUGGUCGCACGACAGCGUGGCCGCCAGCACCGGCACCUCGCGGAACACGCCGCCCGCGCCGCGCACCACCGUGGGCGUGGAGGCGCCCACAGCCAGAAUGGCGGCCUGGGAGCAGUACGGGCACGGGAUUACGACAUGGGGGUUCAGCAGUGCAGACGGGAUAAUUUAUACCCUAGUGGAGAAUUUAUACCCUAGUGGAGGCCAGGGCCCUGGGGUCGCGCCGGCUCCGGAACUGAUACCCCGCGCGAAUGCCCGUACAGCACUUACCAUGGAUAUAACCCCCCAUACGCACCUGCGGCGGGUUGACGAUGGCCGCGAACUGCUUGAUGCCGUACAUGCCCAGGUUGGACACCGUGAAAGUACCGCCCACGUAAUCCUCCGGGGCCAGCUUGCCGGCCUUGGCCUGUGCGGGGAGGGGAGGGAGGCAAGGGAGCGGCGGAGGGGAGGGUGAAGGGAGGAUAGGCGAAAACUGGGAGGGAGGGAGGAUACCGUAGGCGAAAACUGGCGAACUGGCGAUGCCGCAGCUUUUGCCCGCCCAGAAGCACUUUUAAAUCCGUCCGUAAACCUAGCUCCCCCCCCUUUGACAAUAGUGCUGUAAGCACGCCCCCGCGCGCACCUUGGCCGCCAGCGCGCGCACGUCCGCGGAGAUGGCGGUGAGGGACUUGAGGUCGGCGUCGCGCACGAUGGGCACCUGCAGGCCGCCGGGCGUCUGCACCGCCACGCUGAUGUCCACGUUGCGGUACUGGCGGAUGUAGUCGGGCUGCCAGCUGGAGUUCACGCCUGCGUAAAGGGGGUGAGCCGUUCGCGGAUAACGGAGUGAGGUGGCGUGGCGAUGUAGGAAAAUGUUUGCGAAGCACCCUCCGUGUGGGAUACCUCUGGCCUACCAGCCAAGUAAUAUGCGUGGCCCGCGUAACGCUCUGCACCCACCUGGCACGGCCUUGAGCGCCUGCGCGGCCGACUUGAUGAUAAAGUCGUUCACCGACAGCUUCACCGGGGCCGCCCCGUCCUUGGCGCCACCCUUGACGCCACCUGCCAGCUGCGCGUUCAUGCGCUCGCGCAGAGCCAGCAGCUCCUCCACCUGCGUGGAAGGUGGCGGUGGGGAAAGUGGAACGAGUGCGUUCAGCUUGUACAAGGGGCAUUUGUUGGCAUUGCAGACUCGGUACCGACAGGUUGCCAUCGGUACCGACAGGUUGCCAUUGUCCAGCGCGGGACCGUCACUAGCCCGCCAGCUGCUCUGCCCGCCCACACCCGCCCGCCGCGCACACCCACGUUGCAGUCCAUGGUGAGGUAGUAGUGCGGCACCGUCUGCUUGCUCUCCAGCAGCCGCCGCGCCACCACACGCCGGAUCUGGCUGUGCGGUAUGUCCGUGUACUCGCCCUCAGUGCCAGCAGCAGCAGCAGCACCAGCAGAUGGUGCGGCGGUAGCAGCGCCCGCCGAGGGGGCGGCGGCAGCGCCACGGGGCGCCGACUUGACGUCCGCCGCCACCACACGGCCGCCGGGGCCCGUGCCCGCCACCGACUGGGGUGGGUGUAGGUGAGGGGGCCAGUAAACACACGCCAGUCUACUGCGAGCCUGUGCCAAGACCCUUCAGCAAGCAACUCAUCCUGGCCCGCAAAAUCCUCCCACUUCCCACCGACCCACCCACUCCCCGCCCCACCUGCAGCUGCACACCCAGCUCCGCCGCCAGCUUGCGCGCGUAGGGGCUGGAGCGCAGCCGCCCGCCCGCGGAGGCGGUGGCGGCCGCCGAGGGAGCAGCUGCAAGGCAUGGCAAUUGAGAGAACAUUGUGGCGUGACACACACUCGAAUACAGUAGCUAGGUAUUGGCAGGCAUACCGCCCACAGGAGCCGCCCAUACCUGGUCGCGGUGCAGCGGCCGGCGCGGCCUUGGGGGCAGCGGGCACAUGCGCAGGCGUCGGGGCCGGUGCGGCCGGGGCCGCCGCCUGGGGGGCGCCCGGCGUAAAGUCCGCGAACGCCGGCACCGUUUCCUGCAGCAGCCACGAAUCAACACCACAAGAAAGGCGAAGCAGCUGCUUUACUUGCUGUUGCUACUCCAUCUUGAGUCCUGACGAGGCGCUCCAGACAAAACUCGGCCUCAGUAGAAGUCCAGAGCGCUAACCAAGGCAGCCCACCCUCGCGACGCACCUUCUCCUCCACCAGCACCAGCACUGGGGUGCCGACCUCGAUGUCCUUGCUGCCGUCGGACAGCAGGAUGCGCGCGAUGAAGCCUGCGUAUGGAGGGCAGAGGGAGUUAGGAGGGGGCACAAAGGAGUCACGCAAAGCGACCCCAUUGCAACCCGCAGUCCGAGUGGUAUCCCCCGGGAAUGCGCCCACACUCACGGAACAGCAGCCCGCCAUUCCGCACGCCCUCCGCCCCACCCCACCACCCCGCGCGCUCUCACCCUCCUCCUGGCUCUCCCAGCUGAUGGUGGCCUUGUCCGUCUCCACCUCGCAGUACACGUCGCCCGGGGCCACGGAGUCGCCCACCUGAGAGGGGGGAGCAGGUCGUGGGGCAGGCAGAGAGGGGUGGGCGUGGCAGCGUCGUGGCGGCGACGAGCAACAACCAACCAUAGCCUUCCAUUACCUAUAGCCCGCCCCCAAACAAACGCCCCCCCCCACACACACAGGCACUGCACCUUCUUCUUCCACUCCACGAUGUUGCCGCGGCUCAUGGUGGGCGACAGUGAGGGCAUGUUGAGGACCUGCGUACGGUAUGCAGGGUCGAGCUGAUGCGCACAAACACAACAACAGCCUGCAGGGGUCGGUAGCCCUCGGUGCUGUUGCCCCCUGUGCUCCAUGUGCACCCGUCCCGUCCCCCCCCCCCACCCCUGCUGUUGAAUGCUGACUUACAAAGUGUGUGGCUACCAGUAACUGCACACACCCUACUACUGGCGCCCUGUGACCCUCACAGCCCGCCCAUACGGGUGUCCUCAUCCUAGGCCAGUGCGCUGCUGUGCUGCUGCCAUUCUGGGACCACUGGCGCUACGGGCAUUUAGAAUGUGCUGAUGGACCGUUAUCGUCGCCCUGGGCCCUGUGCGGCGUUUGCCCACCUGGUGGGGCGGCAGGGUGGCGGCGGGCUUCGCGGGAGCCGCCGCAGCCGCAGCCGCCUUGGGCUCAGUCGCCUGCGCUGCCGGCGCACUACCACCGCUGCUGCUGCUGGCCCCUGGGGUGAAGGACGCCAGGCCCGCCACUCCGUCCGCCUCCUCCGACAGCACCGCCACCGGGGUGCCCACCGCGAUGUCGCGCGCCCCUUCCGGCACCAGGUGCUUGGCCAUGAAGCCCUCCUCCUGGGCCUCCCACUCAAUGGUGGCCUUAUCCGUCUCCACCUCCGCCAGGAUCUGACCCGGAGCCACCUGCUCGCCCGGCUGCUUGUGCCACUUGGUGAUGUUGCCCUGGUGGGAGCGGAGCGAGGAGCCAGGGACGGGUGCAGGGCAAGCGGAAGGGCUGUCAGCCUCCCCCGGUGCAAUAGUCAGCUGAUCCCAACUACCAACAAACACCAACCUGAGUCAUCGUGGGCGACAGCGACGGCAUGUUGAGCACGACGUGCGCCGGGUCUGCGGGCGGAAAUUGGUGCAAUCAAAGUCACGCUCCACGGAGUCCCAAGUGCAAACGGCGAAGAAUCGCUCUGCUUACAUGAUGCAAACUGUCGAGCAUGGGUAACGGCCGGCAGCCAAGAGAGACGCGAGUGGGAAGCCCUGCGUGAGAACAAUCGGUCAGUCUCUGUGCUUCACAAGUGGGCAAUAGGGGAAAGACAAUCACUCACCAGUACAUUUGAGCAUCUGCAAUGCUACAAGGCUGCGCUGCCCGGCUAGCGAGGCGCAGCGCCAGGCGCCGAGCUCCUCCCGACGACAUCGUUCAAGCAGAGUGAGCGAUUCGUCCCAAGGAAUGCCUUUAUUCCAUCUACACAGACAAACCUAUUCGUGCUAUGGCGGACAGGAGCGAGGGCUUGUCUGAGUUCGCGCUCAUGCAGCCACGGUUGACAGUGUUGAGGCAUGGGCCCCGCAAGAGGUAAAGAGACUCCGUCCCUCACCGCCCCAUGAUAUAUCUAUCCCACUUCAGGUGCAUCUAUGAAGGAAGUUCGGUUCCUUUGCUCUCUUGCGGCGCUCACGCUGGCCCACGCGUGCAGAUGCAAGCACGGCACGCUUGACGGCACGACCUGAAGGCAAGAAGGGGGCAAGACCAGGGGCACCCAGGCGCACCCUUGUAAGACGGACCAGGGCCCGAGGCCCACCUCCCAAGAGUCCCAACCCUAUAAAUGACUUACGUAUGAGCCAUCACCGUCGCAUGGCUGCUCUGGACGCCGCUCUGCAAACCCGUCUUCUUGCAGCUCUCCACGCCUGUCCACACCCUGCCCCAGGCACUACGCGGCCCCACACCCCUUUCUCGGUGGCCCUACUCAAGCUGUACUGUUUUUCUGUUUACAACUGAAGGCUCUGCCCUUGUCCCGCUCAUGUGGUAACAUCUUCUUGCACUCGCUAAGAAGGCAUAAUGGCUGGUGUUGCGUCAGCCACAACACCAGCCGCUACAGAGAAUUGAGCUCAAGUUGGUGAAUAGAUAAAUGCUAUAAUUGUCUUGGAGGGCUGCACUCCAAGACAAUCCGGUGCAAAGGAGGGCAUGUUUGCAGCUGAGGGGGUGUCAAGUCGUGCCAGUGUCGAAGGACCUGCGGCGGGUGACAAGCGGCUCACUAGCAAAGUUACAGAUUAUAUCUGUUCCAGUCUAAUGAUACCGCUCACACGCAAUUUUUAUCAUUCAGAUUAUAAACAUCUUUCCUUGACUCGAACAAAGGUGGACUCGCGUACUUGCGGUGAUGUUAGUAUUCCCCAUCAAUAUCUAUCCAUAACAGCAACAUCAGCUUGACCUUGGCUUCGGGGCGAGCAUGGCUGAGCCCGGCGAGGACUCGUUGCCCGUCGACGGCUUGGCUGAAGUAAACGAGCAGCCCGCGUCUAACCCGGAGCAACAAGCAAUUGUCGACGUGGCGGCACCUGCGGAGUCUGCUCCGGACAGCGAUGGAGAUGGGGUUGCCGAGACUUCUGAACCAGCGGACGCGGACGAGCCUGCGCAGUCAGGCAGUGGUGAAGAGGCAGCAAUUGCAGAUGAAACAGGGUCAAAGCCUCCGGCCGAGGCUGUGGCAACGGGCACGCCUGAGACCAUGCCUGAGGAGCAGCCUGCUGAGGAGCAGGAACCGGAACUUCGAACGGACGCGCCAGCGGCCGACGCUGAGGCAACGGACGCGCCUGAGGAACAGCCUCAGGAGGCUUCUGCAACAGAAGCAGCGCCUGGGGCCGAAGCCGUUGAGGACGUAGGCGCGGCGGCAGCGUCAAACCAAGACGAGAAGUGUACGCCAGAAGGGCCAUGCAGCGCCGUACCUGACGGCGAGCCGCGGCAGGCCGACGCGGAGGCGCCUGUGCCUACACCUGCUGCUGCUGCUGCUGCUGCUGCUGCUGCUUCUGCAGCUGCAGACCAGCAGCUCGCAGGAAAGCCGACCACUGAUGCCGCUGAUGGUCUUACUGCUGAGCCAACGGACAGGGUGCCAGUGCCUGACCCCCAAGCUGUGGGGGCGCAGGAUGGUCCUGCUGGAGAGCAGGCGGACGCUGAGGGCGCGGCUAGCGGGGGGCCUCUAGCCGCGUCAGCCGAAGAGGCCGCAAAUGCUGGUCAUGCUGCUGGUCCUGAGGACAGGGCCGCUCUGGAGGCUGCAGCUGUGGCGGAGCUUGAUGCUGCAAGCGCAGGCGCAGGCGAUGCUGCGGCAGCCGAUGGGGCGGCAUGCGCCCCCGCCACCCCUGACUCACAAGCGGAGGACCAGCCUCAGCCGCAUGCCGUAGCAGAGGCUGUCACCGCCCCAGCUGCUGCACCUCCCGCUGCUCCAGGCUCGCGGACUAGCUCGGCGCGCUCAGCUCCUGUGGCCGCAACGGUUGCUGCGGCCGAGCCCGCUCCCCGACCGCCGUCUGCCACGCCACCAGCUGAGCCACGGCCGCAAUCGGGCUCGUCUCGCACCCUGCCUCCACCUGCCCCGCCGCCGUCACUGCCUCCCGCCUCCGCUGCCAGCAGCGGUGUGGCCCAGCUGCUGUCGGUGCACGGCCUGGACACGCACCGGCGCAACAACCUGGUGCUGCUGGACGAGGACACCGCCGCCAGCUGCAUCGCGGGGCAGCUGGUGCUGCUCAGCCUCAGCACCGGGGCGCGCAGGUACCUGCCAGGCCGCGAUGGCGGCGGCGUAGGCGCGGUGGCGGUGCACCCCAGCCGCACGCUGCUGGCGGUGGGCGAGAAGGCGCGGCCGGGGCCCGCCUCUGCCGGCCCCGCCGUCUACAUCUACUCCUACCCGGGGCUCGAGGUGGUCAAGGUGCUGCGCGGCGGCACGGAGCGGGCGUACUCGGCGCUGGCAUUUGACGGCGAGCGCGGCGACACGCUGGCGAGUGUGGGCCACUUCCCCGACUUCCUGCUGACGCUGUGGGACUGGCGGCAGGAGGCCAUUGUGCUGCGCGCCAAGGCGUUCAGCCAGGACGUGUACGGCGUGGCGUUCAGCCCCUACUUCGAGGGCCAGCUCACCACCUCAGGUGAGGCUCAGGCAAUGGGAGUCUUGGGGCCUCACAGUUGCAGGCAGGGACCUUCUCAUUUGUACUAGGGCUAACUAAAAAAGGACUGGUGGUGCCGUGUGCAGCAGGGCGCGCUGCUGGCCAAUGCUGAGCAUUGCUUUCGCUCCUACCUCCCCCGCGCAGGCCAGGGCCACAUCCGCUUUUGGCGCAUGGCCUCCACCUUCACCGGCCUCAAGCUGCAGGGCGCCAUCGGCAAGUUCGGCAAUGUGGAGCUGAGCGACGUGGCGGCGUUCGUGGAGCUGCCCGACGGCAAGGUGCUCAGCAGCACCGAGACCGGAGAGCUGCUGCUGUGGGAUGGGGGGCUGAUCAAGGUGCGCUGGCGGGGAGCAGGGUUGGAGUGUGGGCGGUGGAGCUCAGUAAUAAAGCGGGUUGCACUGCGGCGGGCGUGGCAUGGCGUGGCGGGUGGACACUCCACACAUCCUAGCUGACCUGGCCAUCUCCAACUUCACUCCGCCCCCAGGUGGUGCUGACGCGCCCCGGCAGCCGGCCCUGCCACGACGGCCCCAUCGAAGCGCUGCUGCUGGACCGGCCCGCCGGCCGCGUGCUGAGCGCGGGCGCGGACGGUCGCGUGCGGAUGUGGGACUUUGGCGCCGUGAAUGACGCGGAGCCGCGCGAGGACAGCCACAGCCUGGAGCUGAGCCCGCUGGACGAGGUGGUGGUGGCGGAGGGCGCGGCGCUGAGUGCGCUGCUGGCGGACUCGGGCGGGCGGCGCUGGGUGGUGGCGGACAAGGCCGGCAACGUGUACACAGUGGCGCUGCCACCCGCCGGCCCAGUGGGUGAGUCGGGCAGGGCUACGGCAUCGCAGGCUACAUAUAGCGGGCCGGGCGCAUCUCCUGGAUGGCCGGGCACACAUGUGCUGGCCAGAUUGUGCUGACCUCCUUGCGUUGCUGGCUCAGGAAAAGGCGCAGUGGUCACGCGCGUGGCCUCGCACCCCGCUGGCGCGGUGGCGGGCCUGCAGCUGUCCGCCCGCACCCACACCGCACUGGUGGCCUCCGCGGACGGCUGCCUGCGCGCGCUGGACUACGUGAGCGGCGCCGUGCUGGCGGAGGCGGCCACGCCUCAGCGCAUCACCGCCUUCACGCCGCUGCCGGCCGCCUCGCCCGCCUGCCCCGGCGGCGCCAUGACGGCCGCCACCGGCUACCGGGACGGAGUGGUGCGGCUGCACGCGCGCUGCGCCGAGGGCCUGGCGCUGGUGGGUGUGGCCAAGGCGCACAAGGGCGCGGUGGCGGCGCUGGCGGUGUCGGCUGACGGCGGGCGGCUGGUGAGCGCGGGCGAGGACGGCUCCGUGUUCUUCUUCGACCUCACGGCGCAGCCGCAGCCCGGGACCGGCGUGCCGGGCAUGCCCGCCUGCGGCCUGCUGGCGCCGCGGGCGUUCAUCAAAUUACCCUCGGGCAGCGGCACGGUCACGUGCGGCGUGUGGGAGGCGGCGGAGGGCGGCGGCGUGCUGCUGGGCACCAACCGCGGCACCAUCCUGAGUGUGCCGCUGCCGCCGCCGGACCUCAACACGCACCACUCGUACGAGUGGGCUGCCGGCACCUCCGCCGUCAGCUCCUACCAGCUGGUGGUGCCCAAGCCCAAGCGGCCCAAGAAGAAGAAGGGCAAGAACGACGGCGAGGAGGGCGACAAGGAGGGCGGCGAGCAGGAUGAGGGCCAGGGCGGCGAGGACAAGGGCGGCGAGCAGGCGGACGGCGAGGGCGGCAGCAAGGAGGGCGGCGAGGAAGGCCGGGCCGCGGAGGAAGAAGAGGAGGAGGAGGCGGAUGAUGAGGCGGACGGCGGCGCGGGCGGACCGUCCUCCACCACCGGCGAGCUCAUCUCGCUGACCCUGGCGCCCAAUGAGCCGGGGGCGCUGCUCGUGACGGCGGGCGGCGUGGGCCAUGCCGCACGCAAGGCGUGGCGUGUGCGGAUGGGCGAGCCGCUGGCCGCCCCGCUGCUGGAGGGCUUCGCCUCCGCGCCCGUCACCUGCCUGGCUCAUGCGGGGCCCGAGGGCCGCCUGGCGCUGCUGGGCAGUGGCGACGGCCUGGUGCGGCUGCAGGCGUUGGAGGAGCCCUUUGGGUCGGCGGCGCCCGGUGCGCUGCCGCUGUGGGAGGCGCCGCUGCACGACAUGCAGUCGGGCCGGGUGAGCGGCCUGGGGCUGUCGCACGACGGCGCCUACCUCGUCACCGCCGCGGCGGACGGCGCACUGCAUCUGCUGGCGCUGGCGCUGCCGCCUGAGCUGGCGCCGCCACCCACCACACAGCCCGGCGACGAGCCGCUGCCGGGGCCGGCGGCACUGCCGCUGCGGCCGCCCGACGUGCUGGCGGCGGCCGCCUACACGCUGGAGGAGGAGAAGCAGCAGGCCGAGCGCGACCAGCAGGUGCGCGAGGCGGAGGAGAAGAAGCUGAGUGUGCGGCAGCGGCUGGGCCUCAUACGCGCCGAGUUCGAGGCGUUGCUGGCGGAGAACGAGGCGGCUCCGGAGGCGCUGCGGCUGCCGCGUGCCGACCUGGAGGUGGACCCGGGGCUGCGGGCGCUCAUGGAGGCGGAGGCGCUGCGGCGCGAGGAGGUGGCGCGGCUGGAGCUGGCGUGGGAGAGCGAGCGGCAGCGGCUGGGCCUGGCCAAGCUGCGGCGCUACUUCCUGGACGGCCUGGAGUCGGAGCGCGUGGUGCUUCACUCGCUGCGGGGCAGCAGCACCGUCACCACCUUCCGCGUCGCCAAGCUGUCCGACGAGACGCGCGCCGAGCUGGCGGCCAUGCGGCAGGCGGCGAGGGCGGCCGCAGCUGCCUCUGCCGCGGCAGGCGGCGAGGGCGGUGCCGGGGGCCGUGACACAGACGCUCGGGGUAAGGGCAGUGAUACGGGAGGCGGCCCCGGCGGCGACGCUGCCGCCCGGGCGCGGCUGGCCGAGGCGACUGCAGCUCUGGAGGAGGGCACUGCCAGCGGCAAGCUGAACAAGGCCGACCUGCGGCGCCUGGCCCGCAAGCGGCGUGAGGCGGAGUGGGCGGCCUUCAACGGCACCCGCCCCGACGACACGUACGACAGCCCCGCCGACCUGGCGGCCAUUGAGGAGGCGCGCCGCACCAUUGGCGACUUUAAACUCAAGUCCGACCCCAACUACGUCGUGCCCGAGGUGCGUAGGGGCGCAUACCGGUAGCGUGGAGGGGGGCCCUUUGGUCGUGCGCCCCCAACUGGUAGGUGUAUUAAGCCUGACCUGCGUGUAUGUCCGCAUGCCUACCACGGCACCCGCUCCGUGCUCGUCCCUAAGUAUGACUCCCCACCGCUGACUGGCCGCUCCGCUCGCGCAGGAGGAGCGGCUGACGCCGCAGCGCAAGCGGCUGGCCAUGCUGGAGCUGGAGGAGGCGCUGCACGACAUCGCCGCCGCCUUCAACGCCAAGUUCUUCGCACUGCGGGACGUGAAGCGCAAGGUGCUGGCGGACGUGCGUGUCAAGCUGGCGGCGCUGGCGGAGCUGGCGGCGGCGGCGGGCGCAGCAACGGGCGGCGCGGACCCGGACGCCACCGCCGCCGCCUACCUGGCGCCCUUCUCCGGCCUGCCCAGCGGCCUGCUGCCGGAGGAGGAGCCGGCGGAGGCGCGGGAGGCGGUCACGGACGCCGACCUGGCGGCCUUUGCGGCGCGCAAGGCGGAGGACGAGCGCAAGGCCGCAGCAGCGGCAGCAGGCGGGCUUGGCGGCUUUGCAGGGGCCGCCGCCGGGCCCAAGAAGCCCGCGGCCGGGGGCGCAGCACCGGCUGGUGGCGCUCUUGCUGGCGGCGCAGCGGGUAGUGGCUCUGUCGCGCACGGCGCUGGCGGCCCCUCUGCAGGCGGCCAGCAGGGUCUGACGGCUGCGGAGGAGGCGCUUGCGAAGAUGAUGGCGGCAGUGCCUCAGAGCGAGCUGGAGAAGGGUCUGGCGGCCUACAACCGGAGGCGGGUGGAGCAUAUGCGCUCCAAGCUGAGCGAGGAGAUCACGGCCAUGCUGGAUGCCUUUGACGACGCGCACUCGGCACUCAAGGCGGAGAAGCUGGGCCUGGAGGCGGACGUGAAGGCGGGCCAGAUGCGGCUGCUGGUGGGGCUGCAGGAGCUGCAGCUGCUGCGCGAAUUCGACAAGCGCGAGAGCGUGCUGCUGGCCAAGCGCCAGGCCAAGCUUGACGACAAGCAGGAGAUCGUGGACAAGAUCGCCGAGUGCACCGACAAGCUAGAGACCAAGCGCCUGGAGCUGGAGGGGCUGGUGGCGCGGCGCGCGGCUGUGGUGGCGGAGCUGGACGCGGUGGUGCCCGAGUCCGACCCCUUCCGCGAGGCGCUGGUGCGUGUGUUCCACCGCCGCAUCAAGCGCAGCAAGAAGAAGGCGGGCGGCGGCGGCGGCGAGGACGACUACGACAGCGAGGAGGACGAGGAGGACGAGGACAUGGGUGAGGGGGCUGGGCGCUUGCUGCCUGUGGUCAGGAUGGAACUAGGCGGGAAGUGAUUUGGCUUCAGGCCGACGCCGAGCCCGCAUCCUUCCAGGGCUAGGACUGCUUUACCAACCACCUGCCGCCCAUGCCUCUGCAGGCGACGACGAGGUAGACGAUGACGAUGACGGCGGUGAGGAGGUGUGCCCGCCCGGCUGCGACCAGUCGGUGUAUGAGCGCGUGUGUGACCUGCGCGAGAAGCGGCUGGACGAAGAGGACAUGAUCGCCGAGUUCACCAAGACCAUCGAGGUGCUGCGCAAGGAGAAGGAGGCGCUGGCCAAGAAGCAGCGGCUGGUGGAGCAGGGGCUGGCGGCCGUGAACGCCGACAUGGCGGAGUUCCAGAAGGAGAAGCAGGGCCGCCUCAACCAGGUGGAGGUCAUCGUGGCACUGAGAAUGCACCAGGUGAGCGGCGUGUGCAGGGGCUGGCGGGAAGGAACAGUGAGCUGCACAGUUAACUGCUGGAUGUGUGUAUGCGCGGCAGUAGGGGAUGCGGGGCGCGCUAUCCAGUCCUUGCCAUGUCUGGGGGGGGCGGCCGGGCGCGUGAGUACCGCCUCCUCGCCCAUGACCGCUCCCCGCUGCCCCUGCUCCCACAGAUCGAGUACCUGCUGGACGGCUGCCUGCCGGACGACCUGUCCGCCUGCCUGGUGUUCAGCGCCAGCCAGCUGCGGCGGCUGCAGGCGCGUGUGGACGAGCUGGAGGAGGAGAAGGCGGGCCUGCGCGCCGCGCACAAGGAGCUGCGGCGGCAGCACGCGGCGCUGCUGCGCGACAAGGCCGACAAGGAGGCGCGUGUGGCGGAGCUGGAGGCGCGCGCGCACGACGUGCAAAUGCUCAAGUUCGGGCAGGUGAUUGACCUUGAGUUGCUGGACCGCGUCAGCAGCAGCCGCGGCACCGAGGAGCUGCGGGAGGACCUCAAGAAGCAGGUGCGUCCCGAUUGGGUGAUGGGGUGGGGCAGAGGGUAUGGGCACGUGUCGGACAGGUGCGGGGCUACAGCUUGCGGUGGCAUUGCUGGCCACGAUGGGAGUGAGCAUGCACAUGGGCUGCCAACCCGGCUUAACAGAAUAGGUGUAGGGGUACCCUCAAGGUAGCAGCCAUACCGUCUCGCGCUUCCUGCCACGGUCCCUUGCGCUACCACACUACACCCACACACGAUCUGGCCACCCCGGCCCCGACCUUGCCCCGCCAGGAGCUGGCCUAUGCCCGCGAGCUGGCUGAGUGGGACGCCAAGAUCAACGCGCGCAUGGACGAGCUGGUGGUGCUGACGCGCGAGAACACCGCCUGCCUCAACGCCGUCAGCGAGCUCACCGCGGCGCAGCGGCGGCUGGAGAGCGGGCUGACCGCCACGCGCAAGGGCCUGUUUGCGGACCCGGUGCAGCAGCGGCGGGCGGAGGUGGAGGAGCGGGACGCGCUGGUGGCGCUGGUGAACGCGCAGGCGGCGGAGCUGGACCGGCUCAAGGGGCAGCUGCUGGCGCUGAGGCGCAAGGACACCAGCAUGUACGCCUAGUGGGGCGGCAGGUCGUAGUACGUCUGCUUGCCCGGGUCAGGACAGUAGCAGAAAGACGGUUUUGGGAAACGGACGUGUGCAAUGCACAUUAUUGCUAUACACUGCACGCUCCCACCAUUGCACAUACCGGUAUGUCACGAGGCCGCUGGAGCGGCGCCCACAGACAACCCUGUAACCCACAGCCAGUUUCGCCUCCUAUUGUGAGCUGAGCCCCCGGAGCGAAAUGAUACCCAGGGGGCGAAGCGCCCCAGCAUCGCCCCUGUACGUUUGUGCAUGCCUGCAUGCCCCUGUGGCUCGGUCGACAGCAAACGGCUAGGCGCGAGGAUGCCAAAGGUUUGCGCAGUAGCCAAACCCGCGUGUUGAGCGCGCCUCAAUGUGUCACAGUCCCGAGUCUCGCGUCCGAGCCCAGCAGGUGCUUGCAAGGGUUAGGUGCUCCUGGGUAACAGGAAUAAUGUGUGGAAAGGAGUUGGUGGCGUGACGUGGCCAGGGACCAAUGGUGCCGGUGACAGCAUGUAUGUGGCGGUGCCUCGGACACGGUGUUGGCGUGCUUCCCGGCCGGCCGGCCCCACCGCUCCACUCCGCCACGCCCGCUUACCCUGGACGUGAUAAAUGCGGUGUACCCGUAUGUGGCGUUCACUGGGUGGAGCUUGAUGCCAACGGCGCCAAGCGUUCACAUCCCUGAGUGGGGCUAUUCAAAGCUGACACCCAGUGUCCAUGACCGGGAUUGAUGCAGUGAUUACCAGCAUAUCAAUAACAAAUCUCAUGCCGUGGUGGCGAUAAGCACAUAAACGCUACUGCGUGUACAAGCUCAUGCGGAAGUAGGGCAGGCUCGUGCUGGCGCCUCGCCAGCUCUCCUCCCCAGCCGUCCGGCCUAGGUCCGUUGACGAAGGGAGCUAGAUGGGUUGAUCCCGUCUCAGCGCGAGCCCCAAUACACCGUUCUAAGUGGUCGUGUGUCCUAGGCGCAAACUCAAAACAUUGCUUCGGCGUGUGGGGACGCCGCGUUGGCGAGAGCCGCGGAUGGCCCUACUACCGUGGACACCCAUCGCACACCCAUGGAGGGAACUGUAUCCUGGCAUCUUGACACCCAGCCUCCUCACGCGGUUGCUAACUAGCCUUACGGAGCCUCCGAAGAAUAAGUCCAUUGGCAGUCAGGCAGUCGACGCUACCGAAUUUAUUUGAAGGGGUGUGCACCGCAUGUUGUUAUGGUGCAGAUGCAGGCACGAAUCCCCAGCUUUCCCUGUGUUCCUUUCAUGGCCACCACCCUCGACGCCAGCCACAACAGCAUAUGAGUGAUGCUCGGGCGACAUUUAUACGCUGCAACUAUGCUGCCUUACACCACCUAACAGCUACACCACUGGAUCGCUGUGAGCCCGAGCUCAGGCACCGCCAUCACCGCCUCUCCGCCGCGCCCGCCCUCGCGCCGCCGCCGCCAGCCACUCCGCCCGAAGCGCCUCGUACCGCUCCGCGCAGCACGCCUGCCACAGCGCCGGCCCCUCCCCGCACGUCUCUGUGGCGUUGCCGUCAUAGGCCCUGAACCAGUCCAGCGUGCGCCUGUUUUGACUGCCGCCCGGCCCCCGCCGCAUCUUGGCCAGGAACUCGGACAGCGAGCGCGUCACGUAGUGGUGCAGCGCCAGGCGGCUCCAAGACACCGGCAGCGACUCGGGGCCUUGCACCGGCAGCCCCAGCUCAUUCACCGCCACCCCGCCGCCUAUGUACACGAACUCGUGUGGGUUACCGCCUAUGGCCAGCACCGCCGACAUCCGGGCGAUGGUCUUGAUGUGCCGGUUGUCCCACGCCGCGGCCGGCGAGCAGGCCGUGUAGGCCUCCAGGGUGCCCGCGGUGGGCCGCUGCACGUGGCCACUGCUGCCGAAGUAGCGCAUGUUGACGCCCACGCCCGGGUACUGCUCGUAGUGGCGCAGCAGCGCGCUGAUGUUGGGGCGGGCCACGGCUGCCUGAGGGGGAGGCGGCGGCGGCGGCGGCGGGGAGGCGGCGCUGCUGUUGCGCGGCGGGCUGCUGUCGCGCACGAUCAGGUAUUCAUCCGCGUCAAUGAACGCCAUCCACAUGUGGUCCCGGUGUGCAAAGUCGAUGCAGCGCUGGAAGGCGGUGCCCUGGCUGUAGUCGGCGAACACGCCGCCGCGGCGAGGGGAGUGGUGGCGGGGGUCGGCGUCGUAGUGGUACUCCACCAGCCCGCUGCGGAUGAACGGCAACAGCAUGCGCAUGUUCGACAGCGGCCGGCUGCUGUUGUAAUCCAUCACGUAGAUUUUGCCGAAGCCAACCCAUUCGUGAUACAGGAUGAACUCCACCAGGUUAAGCCCCUCGUCCUUCACAUUGGUGCAUAUAGCUGCAUAUGCGCCUUUGCUGCGGUAUCCUGAUGCAGGUACGCUGUGAAGGAAAACGAGCAGGACAAAGACUAGCUGCAACAUCGCCACAUCUUUUGCAUGCGUGUGCUUGUAGGUGUGCUAACUGUCAAUGCUCAAUGUUAAAGCCUUUUUAAGUAUAUCGGUGUGUCAUAGGUUGCUGCCGUAGACCAGUGCAACCCCCCUCCCCCCGCAUAAACCCAAUAUCCCCAUCCCCGCAUCCUUGCCCAUUCCCAUUGUUUGCGACGUCAAUAUGUCCGCCUUAGCUACCACGCUCUCGAUAUCAUGUUCUGGGUUAAUCAAGGGCUUCCUGAGGCUCAUGCUACCACCCUGAUGCGGCCACUCGACUAGUUUUUGGGCUGAGCACCCUGAGGCGUUUAGCCCUCCACGCUUUUCACGACCCUAGGAUUGCCCCUGUCCCUGCGUGCCCAGCACACCAACGCCAGCCCUCACACUUUCCCGGCUCCGCAACUGCUGAGCGGGUCUGGCUUGUGCAGCGUGAAGCCGCGCGCCUGUGUCUCCGGCGGCAGCUCCAGCGCCCGGUCCAGCGGGUGCAGCAGCUCGCAGCGCACAAACAAGGCGUGCGUGAAGGCCUGCGCGGCGCAUGCGGGGUUCAGCCCAUAAUAGCAAGUUUCCAACCGCUAAGCAAAGUGUGCUCCAGGACAAACCAUUCAGGCCUCUACCCGCCCCGCCUCGCCCUAUGAACGGCACGGAUACAGAUGUUCACCUCUGACCGCCGUGCACCAGGUUGUAGCAGUAGCAGUAGCCGUGACCCGCCGCCAGCCCCACGAAGGCCGCCAGCGAGGCGCCGUAGUGGCGGCUGCAAAAAGGACAGCACCAUUUCCGGCCAGUAGAACAGGCGGAACAUAGGCGGAACGGUUUGUUAACGAAUGGAAGGUAAUGGUUCCAUGGUUGCCGCCCUUGAGUCUCGUGAGUACUUGGGACAUCGUGCGACAGCAAGGCGCACCAGGCUCACGCGGCCGCCACAACGCCAACCUCCUGCCCGGAGCGCACACAUGCUCUGGAGUUCACCGGAAGUAACGCACCAACCGGUGCGCAACGGCAACAGAGCGAGACCCCACAAACGGGACAAGAUAUGUGUUUCCUCUGGCAUGGGACAAGCGGGCUGCGCCCACGCCACGUCUCUAGCCUGAGGCCGCAAGCGUCUACCUCAUCUCCCAGACAUAGCCGGGGUCGGUUCGUAUAGGCACAGCCCGCCAUGCGUCCAGCCACGUCCCGCUGCCAAGCAACAGCACAGCCAGCAAUCACCCAAGCAGCAGGAAAUCCUCUAGCCACAACACUCCUCACUGCUGCGGCCUACCACAUACUGUGCUGUGCUAUGCUCGCCAGCAAAGACCGCUAGCCAGCCACCGGCCGGCCUCAACCUGCGCGCCAGCGCUGCUUUGUGGGCGGCGCCGCGCUCUCCUCCUCCACGUGGCCUUGCUCGCCCCGCUCCGCUACGCACAUGCAUGCCGCCACUGCUGGGCCCAGGGCCGCUGCCGCCGCCAGGGCGCGAGGCCCUGUACCGC
rnacentral:lncRNA from 1 species